CCUCUUUCCCUUCUUGACCCAAAGCUUCUUUAAUCUCUCCUCGCACGUCCUUACAUUCGCUAUCCCCCCUGGAGAUGCUAGCAUUGUGUUUCUUGCCUACAUUUGCGAUUACACACACCAUAUGUCUACCACCCGCCUCCGUGUUCCAAGGUUGACCCACCGCUUCGCAUACGCCCUUCUUUCCCAAAUGGGCUUGUUGGCAACUUUGCUUGGAGUGGGCCUCAAUUGAAACGGGUAUGGUAUUCAAAUUACUAGACACCUCCACUUCCUCUUCUAAAACAGCCACAGAUUCUAGAAAUGUGGCACGUGUAUUAUAGACUUUUUGAUUUACGUACAUACCUAUCUCUCUGAUACCUUGGCAGAUUAACAUACAACUUCCUGUUACCAAUGUAGAGGCUGUCUAGGUCCCUCUCCAACCUCACCGCGUUUUCGACAUAGAAGAACCUAACAAAACCAAAUCUUCUACCCCACCGAUUCAAACGCCUUGAUAUGAACACUUCUUUAACCCUCGCCCAUCUCUGGAACAACUUGAGCAUCUCAUAUUCACCAUGACUAUUUGGAAAGUUUAAAAAAAAGAACGUUGUAGACGAGUCGGUUGAGAAAUGAUGUUUGCGUUCCACCGAUCUCCUCCAGUAGUUCUCCCCCUCCCUACCUCUCCCUCCACGAUUCAUAUUCGGAAUCCUGGUGAUGAGUUGUUGAUCAUUCACAUGUUGGCACUAAUGCUCCUCAAGCAAAAGUUUUCUCAAGAACUCACAUCACUGAACGAUGUUGUUUAACAAAAAUCCUGAUUACACUAUUUUCAAAGUUUUUGGAUGUGCUUGUUUUCCUUUAUUAAGACCUUAUAACAGGAAUAAAUUUGACUUUCGUUCACAAUAGUGUUUGUUUCUCGGGUAUAGUUUCAACAACAAAGAUUAUAUAUGUCUAACUCCAUUUGGUAAGACAAUUGUUUCAAACAUGUGCACUUUAAUGAAACUGAGUUUCCAUAUCAUGAACAAUUAAUUUCUUUUCCUAUUUCACCUAUUUCAAUGUCUUCACCUUCGAAUCCACACCCUAGUCUUACUAUUAUUUAUUCUAAUACUGAUAUUGUUAUGCAUGUUCAUAGUUCUUCUGUUGUUCUUCUAAUUGAUAACAACAUUGUUAUGCCUAAUAGUACUGACUCUAUUGUCUUUGAGAUUCAACUUGUAAAUUCUCAUCCUAUGAUCACUCGUGCCAAAGUAGGUACUUUCAAACCUAAGACAUAUACUACUAUGGGUUCUAUACCAAUUGCUGCUACAUCUGUCAAGGAAGCCAUUACAUCAACUAUGUGGUUUCAGUAUCUUUAGCUAGUUUUUUAGUAAAAUCAAACCACAACCGUAAAGAUGAAUGGGGAAAAGUUUUGGUUAAAGUCGUGUGUCACUAUAAAGCUUUACUUUCUAAAUGAACAAUAGCCAGUUUCACUUUAAUUUCAUCUGGGGUAUUAUCGAUUAAUUGUCGCAUUGAUGGAUCCAAGGAAUGACGUUAUCUCCAUUAAAUCUGAGGAAAGUCAAUUCUGGCCAAGUGAGUACUGCAAACGUAUGAAGAAGAAGAAUGACGUUUUGUGUGCACAAUUGUCUCGGAUUGAGGCUUUUGGCAUCAGUAUUUUGUUUCACCAAAUCUUGGAUGACCUCUUUCAAAGGCGUAGCUAAUUCAAUAAAUUGAAAAUCCAUGUGUGUUAACAAACGUUCUUUCAUGGCUUGAGCAGAACGUGUAGCAUAAGCCAUAAGCACAAGUUCUCCAAAAAAAGUUGAUAUCAAUUGAUAGAAGUAGAGCAGGGUCUAGGGUCCCUUUCCUAAGGACAUCGAAGAUCAAUGUUGAAGGAGGGAAACCAAUCGAGAUUUCUGAACAGAAAAAAUAGAGAAAACAGAAUAUAGAGAAAAUAAGGAAGGAAUGGCUAAAGGUAAAAGGAAACAUGUUGUAUUAUUGUUCAUCAUUAUUCAAGUACAAUAUGACUAUUUAUAGGUAAUGAAGCGGGGUGCAGGGCGAUGACUCACAUAAAUCUAAAAACCAACUUUAUAUGUAACAUAUGGAUAUGCCGAGAGAGUUCUUUGAGUAGAGGUGUGUAGGAGCCGUGUGGGGAAAGAGGAUAGCGUCUGGUUAUUGACAAUUGGUAUCAGUUAACAGGGCAUAAUGGUGAGCAACAAGUUAUUGAAAACAUGAUUAUAGAACCGAGAUUCAAAACGUGAAUAGUUAAUUUUUUUUAAUCGUAAAUCAAAUGUUAUUAUGAAUCGUAAAAGAAGUUUUUUUCCCGCAAGAAAAUUUGCCUCAAGAGAAAAUCAUAAUAAUUAGCACCAGUCAGGUAGCACAUAGUCAAAGGAAACCAUUCGAUACAGCAACUUCACCAUUGCCACAGAGCAGCAAUUAUCCCACGGAGACCACCUUUCACAUGCUAACAAUUAUGACUUACAAUCAAAUAUUUUAAAUCAUACCUCUAAUUCUGGGUUACUCAAGUAGACAUAAAUAGGAAACGCAGUUAGACGCCAACGAACACCUUUGUUAAAGUUGUAACUUUUGUUGCUGGGGAAGCCCUGGAUACAUUUCUAUCACCAUCAUCAACUAGUAAGUAGCGGUACCCACUAACGUGAUAUGCAUUCUCAUCACCCCAUCCUUUUGAUAGCUUCUCCUCAACUUUCAAUAUCUUAAGUGAUGCCUGACGUAUUCAGCAAUAUGCUUAGUCACCAAUAUCAACUUCAUUUAUAUAUCUUCAUGUUCUUCAUAGCUUUGUCUUGUCACAUGAAAGCCCUUAUAACAUGUUUCAUUAAUCCAAAAAAAAGACUAGCAAUUAUUAACAACUUUCCUCAAUUACAUGUCUUCAUAUGUAAUAUAUGAUUUUCACAGAAAGCAAUAGAAAAGUGAAACAGAGAAAACAACAAAAUGCGGCUAGAAGAAACUAGCAGAAUAAUCUAUAAUCCCUCUCAGUGAAAUGUUCUUUCAUGUUGGAAUCACCAAACACAUACAAAACUUGUAAAUAAGCUAGGAAGAGAAUUCUUGGUAUUAAUGGUUAUGCUUGGAUUGAGAGGAUCGUGUUCGAAAGGAAAUGAAAAGUAAGUUUGUCCACUCUCCUAUGUUUGGAAUUCUUUUCAGUUAAAGGGAAAAGAAUUAGUAAACAGUAGUUGCAUGGGACACGUGCAGGAAAAAGAGGUACUGCCAAUGAAUUGUACCGUGUAUGGAGUUGAACUUGAACCCUAAAUAAUAUAAUAGAAAACACUGGAAUGCUAAGUGUCAGUUCAUAUUAUGUGCAAAAGCUUAACAGAAUCAUUAGGAAACAAAAAAUUUACCAUAUCAGAAGACUGACAUUUUCAACAAUUUGUUGCCUGAUGUCCGACACACCUUUCUCCCCAUUAGGUACAGAUGAUACAGAAAUCAUAAGUAUUAAAGUAAGGCUUCUAUGCUGCUAAACACAGAGAUACAUUUUCUUUCCUUUCUGUUAAAGCCAAACUGUUGGAGUGGCAAACACCCACGUACGAACUUAGGCACCCCAUAAAUCAGUGACAAGACAACCAUCUUUUCCUUUAUACCAUUUGUUACUCUUUAGGGGCCUUGCAACAUGAUAUUGGUCAUCUUCACCAGACAUAUAUCAGACGAGCCAUAAAAGCUUUCAGACAUAGAAUUUGGAUGGAUCAUGUUAGACUCAGUAGCAACAUUGGAUGCAGUACUUCCUUUCCUUAAGUAGGACCAGGAAAUCCAGAAGAUAGAGCAUGGGGAGUCAACCUUAGCACUGCAUAUGCAAAUAAAUUUAUGGUGUCAUCCUGAUAACAUAGUCAAGGAUAAUUAAAUAACUUAAUGAAUGACCAAUCAUUCUGUCCAAUCAAGUUCAGUAAAAAAAAUUGUACUAAUAAACCAUAGAGGAGAUAGGGUUGCGGACACUAGCAGGUUUUGAAAUAAAAUCAAAGAGUAACAGAGUGUUGGCAGCAGAAGAUUUAAGCACCCUGACAAGGGACUGCAAAAACAAGAGAGAAAAACAUCAACAUUCCAAACUUCCUUUUUCAUCAAACUCAUAUCACCUAGUCCCACGGUGGUCUGGUUUGAAAACAGGUUAUAAGAAUUAAAGAUAAAAUAGGAGGGAUACAUAUCUAAAACAGAAUUGAACAGAACAGAAACCUACAUGCUAAACUAUUUAUAAAAAUUGCUGCAAAUAGUCAGUAGCUUAAGUGGUUACCAGAUCCAAAGAGUGGAAUGAAAACGUACAAAAUUCAUUACACAUGAAAAGUUAAAAAACACUAGCGUAACACAAACAUUUAAUCCUAUCAUUUUUAGAAGUUAUCAUAAACAAAAGUAAGAUUCAAUGACUUUAAGCCUGUUAAGAAGUUAUCAUAAACAAAUGAAUUUUUUUGUCUUGCAAGAACCCAAGAAUAAUGCAUUAGACGGUUAAACAAGUGCACAAGACGGUCAAAGAAGUGCUCGAGACAAUUAGAAAAAUACAUCAAACAGUUUGUCUAAUCCCCCAACAGAAAAAAAAAAUAAAACAACUUUCUUGCAGGAACUCAAUGUUUCUGAAGUAUCAUCCUCCUUGUGUUGUCAUAGGAGAUCUCAAGGAAGGAGUUGUUGAGACCCUGGAGGACUAGACGAUAUGUAUUUAUACUGUCUAAUGAGACGAAUGAAACAAGACGGUUCAUUAAACGAAUGACAAAUGGAUGGUCAAACAAAAGUUGUGAACAAGUCAAUGGUGGUAUACUUAAGGUGUGUUAGUGAAGAUAUGCCCCACAAGUGGGUUGAGUUCAUUAUCUCUAGCAGAAUUUUGGUACAACUUCAAAUUCAUACAUCUAUAAAUGUAACUCCUUUCAAAGCUCUUUAAGGGUAUCUGCCUUCCAUUCCAGUUGUGGUUCAGAAGGAUGAGUCUUUGGUUGAAGUAGUCAACUGUACUAUGAGGACAUGGGAGGAAAUCUCAAAACUCUUCGCACAAAUUCGAAUGAAGUGGUACACGAACUUGAAGCGCAAAGACAAACAAUAUGUUAUUGGAGAUAUGGUUUGUCUACGGUUACAACCUUACAAGCAGAACUCAUUAGCAGCACAGUGUUACAGUCCAUUUAAGAUUUUGCACAAAAUGGGGAGCAAUGGCUUGUCAGUUAGAGCUGCUAGCAGAUUCAAAAGUCCAUGAUGUUUUCAUGUUUCGCUAUUAAAGAAACAGCACGAGGAUUACUCAAUAUCCACCCACCUUCCUUUUCUAGAUGAGGAAGGACAAUUUCUUCCCCAACCUUUAGCAGCCUUGACACGAAGGAUGAAGAAAAAACGUAACAAACCCAUCACUAGUUUCAAGCAGUGGAAAAAAAACAAAUCCGGAGGACUCUGUGGCACGAGUUACCGGUGAUGCAACGACAAUUUCUUGACUUCGAUUCGCAGCAAUCAACUUAAAGCCUUGUGGACAAGUCCCUUUUUUAUGGGAGGGAAAUUUUUCAUAACUCUUUUAACAGAGUUAGGGUUUUUUGUUUUUGUCAGUUAAGGUUCGUGUUUUGUAAAGUGGUUUGUAUUUUGUAAAGUAUGUUUUAAAAAUAAAACAGAACCUUGACAUACUCUAGGGUUAUAUAUAACUCUCAAGAGUUGUCAUUGUUGGUUAACGAGAAAAGAAAUUCAGUUUACAGCUAAAGAAAGUUGUGUACCUUCGAGUGAGAGUGUGUCACCGGAGUGAGUGAGUUACAGUGGAGACGUCAAGAGAGUCCUGUGAGCAAAGGCAUGUAGGAGCCUUGCAGGGAAGAAUAGCAUCUAGGGUUUUUGACAAAUAAAUCAUAAAAAGGCAUUCAAAAUGUUUGGAACCGUGUAUUAAAAACAAGGGCAUUCCUAUAAAUAUAUUCGAAUGUAGUAAGAAAUUUAUUCAGUUCCUGCGAAACCCAGCACGUGUAAUGUGCCCUAAGUAAUAACCAUUUCUCAUGUAAGAAACCAGGUGUUUCAAAAAUGUGGCAUAUUGAGGUGGAAAUAGACGUAACACUUGAGGACAAUUCCUCCACAAGUAACAGUUCAAACUCUGAUGAACUGAAAAGUUAAUAAUCCAGGGAAGGGGAAUUGCAACAAACAUGCAGGCAUAUAAAACUUAAUCUGAAAGAGAAUAGAGGAAAUGACACUUGCAGCAGCACUAUUUGUCUCAGCCUCAAUAUAAUCAAAGCAUCUAUAAUGUUUACAUGUUGGAAAAGGUGCUUAUUUGCUCCACAAAAUCUUGAACAAAAGCCAAACGAAUAGUAUGCCAAAAUAUGUAUUCAGGCAACUACAACCAUAUCCCAGUUGAAAGCAUACAACAUUUCCUGUGCUUUUUAUAAACGGCCCCGCUUUUGCAUAAAACAUGACCCCAUUAACCCAAAUACUCACAGUCCGUAUAUGGAAAUUCAGUAUCCAGAAACAACUUAAACUUGAUUCUGAUGCAACUUAUAUAUCUGGUUGCAGCUCAAGAAGAACAAAGAUCCAGCUGAAAUAUUACAAGAAACAACCCAACCCAUUGCUUUUUCAUAUAAUUCUUCUUUACAGUGGCAUCUUUUGUAGUUUCAACUUUGCUUCUGCAAGCCAGUUUUCUUGUAGAAAGUCACUUCUUAAUUUUGAGCUUUCCUCCUACUGAUCCCAGUAGUUUCUUAGCUGAGACAUGUGCAAGAGGAGUUCAUCUCUACCCAGUCCAGUGACACUGCUGGUCAUAAUCCAUGGGGGAUGUUGCUUAUAGUUUUGUUUGAUUAACUCUUGAAAAUCCCUUAUGUUCUCGUCAGGCCGUUUCCCCUUUGCCACUUUCAUUUUGUCACAUUUCGUGAACACAAAAGUGAUUGGUAUCUGCAAUUCACAAAAGUUUUCAAUGGAAUUCAGACUUGUUUCAGUACCUCGACAACAUUACUUUAGGGACUGAAUACACAAGAGGCAUCAUACGUACUGCAGCCAAAAAAAUACAAAAAGGAAGCACCAUACAUUAUUUCGUCCAAGCCAAUUUGCACAAUCCAAGUCAAUUUUUUGAGGUGGAACACUGGCAUCAAUAAGAAGCAAAACAGCCACCAGAGUAUUUCUGUUCAAAAAGUACCCUUUUGUGAAAGAGGACCAAUCCGUUUUAGCAGUUUCAGAUGCUUUAGCAAAGCUGCAUAAAAAACAGUAUUUCAUAUGAUUAGUUACCAGCAAUAAGACCAACCACUUGCCCUAAAUCCUUUCCAAUCUAGGAGGGCGGUGGAAAUACAGGGUAAUGCCCAUAUAUAAGGAAUGUUGUAUGUUUCCCUGUAUAAUUUCAUUCCAAAGGCAACGUAGUAGUAAACUCUAUAUAAACUAUAAAUUUUUGUACCCAAUGUAAAAUCUACUUAAAAGUUAAUUAUAAAGUCAAAAUCAAUUCCUCAGCAAGCAUGAAAAUGUGAAUUGAAACAUGCACUUAACUUGGAUACUGAAAGCAUGUUUGACUAGAAGUGAAAAAAAUAACUUUUAUGUUGACUUGAAAACAUCAUACUCCCUCCAUUCUAAAAGAAUAAUCCUUCUAGUUUUUGAAACUAAAUUAUACAACCAUACUGCUACAUAGAAUUAAAAGUAACUAAUGGCUUGGGCAUGCUUGGUUAGGCUUGUAGGAUGUUUCUUGGUUGGCUCUUGGAUAAGUCUUGGAAGGUUACUUGGAUGGUUCGUUAUUCAGGUUUGGCGGAAGCUAUAAAGUAGAAAAGGUUUCGAGAUCUUGAUGGUGUAAAGGCAAUCAUUGUUGAAGUUAACUUCUUUUAGAAGCUAACCACGAUUAUCACUCAAGAAAGGGCAAGGAAUUAGAAAGAACGUAGUGUCACAUAUGAUAUAAGCAAGUAUGGUGAUUUGCCACAUGAAAGCUAGCUCUCAAAAUAAGAAUCCUAAAGAUAGAAGCUUUCUACCUCCUCCAACAAUGAACUUUGAAUCUAAUGUGAUCCUAAAAAUAAAAAUAUAAGUUCAUUUCUUUUUGUUUUAAACCUAGAAAGAAUAAACUAGCAAUCCCUAGUCUUAGUCUAUUCCAUGUUUUGUUUGGAUAUAGGACUAGGGAAAGAAAGCUUUUGCCUAAUCCCUUUUCAUCACACUCUGCUUAUAUAGACGUACACAUUUCUAGAAUUUUUAUUGACUGAGAAUUAGAAAGUUUUGAGAAGGGUGUGGUUCUUCUACUUUCUUGAAGAGUUAUUACCUUGAGUAUUACUCAUACUCAAGAUAAUUUUGAUUGAAUGAGAAUUAUAAAGUUUGGAGAAGAGUGUGGUUCUUCUUUCUUGAAGAAUUCUCAUCUUGAGUAUGUGAUACCUCAACUGAUGAUCUUCCAUCUCCAUGGCUUAUCCUUGAGCGGGGCUCUUUAUCUUAUCUCAUGAGUGGCGCAUUGGUAUCUAAUCAAAGUGCAAGGCAGCAGACAAUUUUCUCUCUUAGGGUCUCUUAUCUUGUGAAUUAGGUCACAAAUGGUGAUUCGCCAUAAAAAGGAAGAAGGAUCAUCACUCGAGUCUCAACUCAGGAUAAGAACCAUCUAAGAAAGAAGAAAAAUCACACUCUUCACAAAUCAUUCUAGAUUUUAUUAUGAUCGAAGUUAUGUACAAUAUGGCCCAAGCUCUCCUUAUUUAGAAGGAGAGAGGAGAGUGUGGAAGAAGUGGUCAAACACUCUCCUUCCCGCCCUUAUAUGUCCAAACAAAUCUAAAGGCUAAACUACCAAAAGAAUAGCCAAGCAUAUCAUAGGCCAUCCAUGUAUCCAAACAAAGAUCUAUUGCAUGAAAUUUUAUUUUCUUUUCUCUUGAAAAGAUGAAGAGAUUCUCCUCAUUCUCCACAUUUAGUCAACCUUAUUCCAUGUUCUUCUUGAAGUGAAAUCUUCCUAUCCAUGAUCACAUCACUUAAAAUGAAAAAGCCACAUGAGUAGUUAUAAUUUUUUUACAUGGUGACCGUAACCGCCCAAAAGAAGCAUAAAAAGAGGAAACAGAACACAUCGACUGACCCAUAACCAGGCAAGUCGACAAGGUACCAGCUUUUGUUCACCAAGAAGUGAUUAAUGAGCUGCGUCUUCCCUGCAAGCAUCAACCACACGUUAUUACGCAAAAAACUCGAAGCAGAACAAGAAUUCCUUUUAAAAAGGGGGAUAAAAAAAAAAAAAAAAAAAAGAAGCUUAACCUGGUUUCUUGGAAGUGAGUGCAAUUUCUUUCUUGCGAACGAGGGAAUUGACGAGGGAGGACUUGCCAACGUUGGAUCGACCGAGAACGGCGAAUUCGGGUCGGUCAUCUCUGGGGCAAUCCUUGGCGCGACUGCUGCUCUUGACGAACUCUACGUCCUUGAUUCGGGAGUCGCCGGCGUAGGGUCCGACGGCGAUGUUGGAGCCCGGUAGGACGGCGGAGUCGUCAACCUCGUGGGGUAGAAUGCCCGGAGGAAUGAAUAGCUGCGUUUCGAAGGAAGCGUUGGUUGAAAUUGAACGGGAAAUAGGGUUUCGGAAAGAGGGUUUUGGAGGGUUGGGAAUGGAGAGGGAAGAAGAAGAGAAAGAGAGAGUGUGCGAGAGAGAAGGUGAGAAGAACCUCAGCAUUCCACUUCUCACCACUGUUAUCAUCGCUUAACUAUCGCUACACUGUGCCAAUAAGAUGUGAAAUAUAUGUGUUGAAUAAGUUUUACCAUGUUUUUCAAGUAAUGAUUGAAAAAGGAGAUUUUUUUUAGGUAAGAUUGAAUAAAAAUGUUAAUUGCUAUUGGGUCUUUUUUAUGUUGCAUAUAGAAGCUGACAAACACUUCAACACAUAGUCUCACUCAAUUGCUGAUGUUAUUAUACUGGAGAGAAAAAAGAUUCAUGGUUAUGGUUUUUGCCAUUGUUAAUGGAAGAUCUUGGGUGUUACAUACACAUCCAUACAUGAUCACUUGAAGGCAUGUCCUUUAUUUUAUUAAUUAUUUUAUUUUAUUGUAGUUAAUGUGAUUUAUUUCAUUAGUUGAUAAACAACAAUAUUUCUCUUUGACAAAGUUUAUUCUCAUAUAGGGAGAAAUAAGAUAGAUUAAAGAAGUGAAUGUAGACACUUUGAAAACAUUUUAUUCAAGUUGUUUCAAGAUAUACACAUUUGUCCAAAUAGGUUUACAAUAUUAGUAAGUUAUUAACAUUUUGUGUAAUUGAAAUAAGUGUUGGUUUAAAUCUAGAUUCAUGUUUAAUCUUAAGUGUGACACACUUAAUAAUAUGAGUGAAGCAUUUACAACUUAAGUGCAAGGAGUAUACCAAUUAUAGCAACAUUAGAGGAUAUAAAAGUAUACAUGAUGGAGAGAUGGGGUGAGAACAUACAAGAGAUUGUUUUAUUUAUAGGAAGCAUUAUGUGAAGAAUUCAAGUUGAACAAAGAAUUAAACUAGGUACUUGGUACACUUUUUGAUUUAUUUGGAGUUUUUUUUACUUUAAUCAUAAUUUCUCUGAUUGAAUUUCAUUUAUUACUUAAACAUUCUAAACUACUUGUUUUAAUAAAUAGUUGGCCUCAUAGUUCUUUCUUGUUCAAGGGGUGAGGCAAGGAAAUUUUCUAUCCCUUUCUUUUAUUGAUGGUUUAAGAGGUAUUGAGUAGGAGCAUCGCAAAACUUGUUAAUGAAGGAAUCUUCUUAGAUGGUAGGAUUUAAAUCAUUUAUUUUUUUCUCACUCACAUGUUAUGUUGAUAACAAUAUGACCUUUUGCAGAUAUUACAAGGAAUCUGGUCAAUAUCAAGAUUGUAUGAAUAUGGCUUAACUUCAAACUAGAUGGUGAAAUGUGAAAAGUCAAAGUUUUAUACUAGUAAAAACAUUUUUAGAAACAAGAUUGAUAUAUUCAAGAGCAUGUUUGAUUUUUAACAAAGAAUGUUUACCUUUUGCUUCCUUAGGUGUACAAAGUCAAAGUUUUAUACUAAUAGACUAACGGAUUUAGGAGUAUACUUGAUUUUUAACAAAGAUCUUAGCUUUUACUUACUUGGGGAAACUAUUUUGGAAUAAGGUCAUUCUAUCUUCUAAAACCUUCAAUUUUUUAAACACUCUUGCAUAAGAGAAUAUCUACAGAAGACUUUAUUAAAAUUUGUGGAACCACAAUUAUUUCCUUUUGCUCCAUUGGUACAACUUUUAUUAAACUACUUAUCACUUAUUUUUUUUCACUGUCAUUUUGCAGUGAGCUUCUUAAAGUGGCUGAUUAGCAUUAGCACAAUAACACAUCAUUCAUUCUUACAUUCUUGCAACUUAAUUGGAGUGACUUGGAUCAUUAUGAUGUGUUUCUUCCAUAACUCAUUUUAUAGUUGGGAUUUUCAACACCAGGAAAAAGAUCAAAUUUAAAAAUAUUGUCACGACAUAUUAACACAUCAAAAGCAUCAUUUUUUUCUAUUGUUAAUACCUUUGGUUACUUGUGUACUUGUUGUAUGGUUUCUGUUACAUCAGAAUUUAAUAUUCUAAAAUAUUUUACUGUUUCUUGUAAACCAAGGAAGAUAUAAAAGUCAUCCAAAUAUGGUGAACAAUUAAGGAACAGAUAAGAUAUCAUGAAUUUAAUAAAAGGAAUUAAGUUUAUAAUUUUUUUAGAGAAGACAAUAUUGUUAGUUUAGUUAUGUUAUCAUGAGUUUAGCUUCUCUUAUCAUUAUUAUAUAGAGAUAGAUGAGGUCUUCCAUAUAUUAGGUUUUAGAGAAUUUGAUUUAGUCUCCCAAUUUUGCACUUCCCUUUCUUUUGUAUUUCCCAAUUUUAUCAAUUUUGCACAUAUAAUUGAUAAAAGUUUUAUUGCUAACCUAAUUAGAAUAGUAUGCUGUAUAAAAUAAUGCUAUACAAUUCACCUAAUCUUUGAUGAAACUAAAUUAUCAUUUUUGAGUGACUAAGUAACGGAACGACAAUUUACUCAGGAAUAUAAUGACCAACAAAAACUUAAGGAAACAGUAUCUUGCAUAACUUUCCUUCUAUUAAUACGAAAUACGAAAGAACAAGUCUUGGAUAUUUCUUUCUAGUAUGACAGAGAGGAAGCAUAUUUUCCUGUGUAGCAGAAUAACAGGGUUACCACAUGAGGAAUUUAGUGGCAACACAUACUAUAAUUAUUGAAAAUUUUACCAUAUAUACAGUAAAAAAUUAACAAAAAAUGGGCAAUUGCGGAUAGUAAAAAGAAUGAGAGCAUCUGUGUGGAAACAAUACAACACUCAUCUUGCACAUUUUUCCCUCCACUACUGCAACGAAUGACAUUUUGAAAGUGGAAUUUAAAAAUAAAAUAAUAAUAAUGAUGAUAUAAUCACCCAAACAAAACUGUCAACUUGGUUCCAUCUCUCUACUUCCAGCUACAACUUUGCGGUGGCGCCGCUGACCAGCUCUUCGUUCUCUUCCACGCCUUCCAGGGCCUCUUCUAAUGGGUGAGUUCGCACCCUUUUCAGGUGAUGUUUCAAGCACAGGCAAUGGAGGAGGAUAUGGUAGAGGGGGUGAACUGUGACCAAAGGUAUCAGGUGGAGCCAGGCGCAGUAAUAGAUCUCUGUGAUAUUUCUGUAAAAAGGUGGUUGCAGUACAUUUUCAUAACACAACUAAAUUUGGUGGAGUAAAACACUGCUAUUAUUAUAAAAACUAAUGCUGGAAUAUGUCAGAUCCAUCACAAGCAAUGUAAUAAAUGAAUCAAGUACUUUUUUUCUUAUCUAGGUGUGAAAACAUUAAAAGAAACAAAGAAAAACAAUGAAAUAAAAAGAUUUCAUCUGUGAGUAAUCAUCAAUAUGGAAAAUGUUAUCAUUUGAUACAUUUGCUUUUUAAAGGUUGCGCACAUGCAUGUGCACAUCUUUAUUGCAUUCAGUAAAUGGUUUAACUGUUCAGCAUCGCGCACAUGCAUGUGUUAAUCUUUAUUGCAUUACUAAAUGUUCGUCUGAUCAGAAUCAGUAUGUACCUUCUGGAAAUCAAUGCAAUAGAAAGAUAUUGAAAUCCUGGCAAGAUAGAAUAAUUACCUGAACUACAAAGUUGCGUCGUUCACAAUCCAAAAACAUGUGAAAAUGAAAAUCUACCCUCGACAAAAUUUUGUCCCUGACUGUUGAGAAACUAAUCUGGUCCCUUGAAGUAAAUCGGUCAACUUCAUUGAACCAAAGACAAGUAAAGAGGUUGCUUAUAGGAACAUGUUCUCGUACUAUCACACAUCCUUCAGGAACAUCUGCAACUCAGACAUGAUGUUUGGAGUUUGUAAAAAGUUUAAAACAAAAACAAUGAAAUAGGAGCAUCUCAUCCCAGAUAAAUACAGGAAAGGCAGUUUAACCCACCACUUAUAAGAGGAAGCUUGGCCUCUGUAUAUGGGGUCAAUCCCUCUUUCUUGUAAAACUCAAUCUGAAAGUCAAUGGAGGCAUUUUCAUACUUUCCAGCAGCUUUAUUUGCCUCAGCCUCAACCAAUACAUCAAAACGUCUAUAAUGCUUUGAUAUUGCAAAAGUAGCAUUCUUUCUCCACAAAAACCUAAACAAGGGUGAAGGGUAGUUUAGGUGUCAAAAAAUGUAUGAUGGAAAAAGAAAAGCUAAAUAUAGGUUGUAAAAAGUCAGAAAGAAUAUAAUAUAAGUAUGAAAUAUGACCCCAAAUUAAUUACAUUUUGGUCAACACUCCACAUUAACAUACAUAUAAAUCUAGUAAAAGCUCAGGCUUGAUUUUCAUAGAACAAAUACAGUAUAUAUCAGUAUUUUGUUCAUCCAGAAACAUAUUAUAACACCUUGGCUAGCAACUCAAAAUGGAAUCUAAACUCGGCACGGAGCUGUGGUAAGAGAAGAAUUAUACAAAACCAAUUGCAAAACCAACAAUUUUGUGCAGAGUGGAUAUACCCUUACUCGUAUACUUCAGAGACAAAUUCAAUUUAAAGGAUAAUUUCCAUAACUGACAACUCCUUUUACGCCAGCUAUCUAUGAGCACUAAUGUCAGAAAUAUCAAUUUGAAGAAAUACCUACGCCACAUGACAAUAAUUAUCCUAAUUUAUACAAUGCAAAGGCAGAGAUCAAGACUUCUGAUCCAAAAUUAUGUACAGGAAACAUGUAUUGAUUUUAUAGCCAGUAAUCAUGGGAUUCUAGUAUCUGUUACCGUACCUCUGUCACCCCAAAACAAACAAUUUUACACUGAGCAGUCAUGGAUGGUAUUUUGGGAUCUGCUAGCAGGUAUAUCAUGCAGACUACAUGAGAAGUUUGUGAAGAAGGAAAAUGGCUCAUGUGUAGUAUCAAGCUUCUGUUUCUUUUAUUUUGUUUCUCUUUAGGGUUAUUCUUAAAGGACUUCUGGCUCAUGUGUAGUAUCAAGCUUCUGUUUCUUUUAUUUUGUUUCUCUUUAGGUUAUUCUUAAAGAACUUCGUAUUCUCCAUUUUUUUCCCGACUUUCUCAAUAAAAAGAAAGGGCACAUAGGUUGGAUUGGUGCAUCAGGUGUGUCUGGACUGGACCCAUGCUGCUGAAAAUGUUGAGUCCCAAGUACAAUGAACAUACUGUGUAGGGCUUGUGUUGGGUAUAGAAAGUUACACAAGCAGUCCAUAGGGGAAUUGAAAGUGCGACUAGAAUAGAAUUUAAUCUAGUUGAUGAUUAAGUUAACCUUAGUUUCCACUGCUAUGCUCUGAAAAACACUAUUUUAUUAUUGGCAAGCAACAUACAAUAGUAAAAAAUCUACAGCUUGAGUAUUGGCAACCAUUACACGUCAUCUAUGGACAAUCUGAAGGAACUUUCUGUCUACAUAGAUUAAGAUGUUACCUUGGGCAGGAAAGAAAUUCCCUGCUUGGAUUUCCAGGAUUUUCGUGUUAAGCUAUAAAAUCCAAGAAACGUAUUUUUGGAGCAACAAGUACAUAAUAAGGAGAUAUAUGUGAGUUGCACCUUACAUCUUUGAGGACAAACCAUACUGGAUUGUGAAGAGAAUGUCUGUCUAUGGACUUAGAGAGAUAAAUUGUGACCACAGCAAAACUAUGGGUAGCACUCUAGUUAAAAGCAAGAGAUGCAUACUGAUCAAACUCAUAUCACCUAGUCCCACGGUGGUCUGGUUUGAAAACAGGUUAUAAGCAUUAAAAGAUAAAAUAGGAGGGAUACAUAUCUAAAAGAGAAUUGAACAGAACAGAAACCUACAUGCUAAACUAUUUAUAAAAUUAAUCAUAGGAGGGAUACUUACAUCACUUUCACAUAUACAAUGAAUAGGCAUAGUGGUAUAUUAUAUACAAUAUCAAAGAGACUCCCCGGACUAUACCUUUCAAGAAUUUGAUAUGGAUCCACAACAAGCUCAAGCUUCCCAUCAAGCCAUAUAGAAUAGCGAGCAUUUGGAACCAUUCUAUGCAACAGAAGCUUUGGAAUCUGUGGAAAAAGUAAUAAAAUUUAGGGACGAGAAACAUAAAUGCCUAUGCAAAAUUUUGGUUUUAUUCAAUUCAUACACAAGAUCUAGCCUAUACUAGGAGGUCUAUUGAUCUAUGCAUCUACCCUUCCCUUUGUGUGUAUGCAAAUAAGUAUGGCAGUAUUAAGCCUCAGAAGGUAGAUUAACCAGAGGUGAAACCACAGCCAAACAAUAUUACUUUCCAACAGCAAUGACCAGAUCAUACUGAACCACAUAGCUAUUUAAAAAAAAAAAUCAGAAACAAUAAUGGUUAACAACCCAUGUACUAAUUUCUAUUUCACACAUGAUGGUACUAGUAAAAUGUAAUUCUGACCUUUCCUGUCCGUCUUGCAUCUGCGUAAGGAAGAUUCCGAGCAACAAUAAUUCUCCAUAAACCAAUCUUCUUGCUGCUUCCCAGCCUGCCAGAACUGCCCAGAUAUUUUUCUGUUUCUUCAUCUACGAACAUAAGGAAGCACACGGUCUUCCUUGAAUAGUCACUGACAUUUUUUGGCUCGUUUAUCUCGUCAAAGUUUCCUGAACAAUAAAUUUCAUUUACAAUCAAUUAUAAGCUUAUAAACAAGUGAAUAAAUUCAGAAAUCACGUAAUACAGACCAAAUAUGGCUGAUGCAACAACCACUCCGUUACACUGCUCCAUUUCAGAAAGGUCAGCUUCAUCAAUGUCAAAUCCUGUUUUGUGGCCAGGUUUAAUUCCUCUUAAAAAUCUGAUUGGUAUACACAUUCAUCAUAGAAGAUGGAGAGUGGAUCCAUGUCAGUGAAAAGGAACAAGAAUGUUUUAUUACUAGCACAAAAAACUAUAACCACAAAAGAACAUUCUUUGGUAGGUAUAGAUGUAAAUUAUAAGGGAAAAAUUCAACAAAAAGUAAAACAUACCCACAGUGUACACUCAUUGACUCUCGUAUAUCAAAAGAAUCAUUUCUCUGCUUCAAAGUAGGAUAUCCACCAAAUUCAGAACCACCAAAUUCUCCAUCUCUACUUAAAUUUUCCUCAUAGACAUAUGUUAAAUUCCUAAGGACCGGUGAUGGUGAGGGAAAUUUUGGCAUCAGUCCAAUGGCUUCUUCCACAGGAAGGUAACACACCGGGCAUGCUAAAACAUAAAUCAAGCCCGGAUAUUCAGGAGAAAUACCAUAAAAGAUAAGCAGUCAAAAAUAUAUCAAUCACAAAUUUUCGAACAACUAAUUUAUCUAUACAGGGAUGAUGGGAAGAACUAUCAAAUUAUUAAGUGUCAAAAGGUGUACAAAAAUAUUUAGGCAUCAAAUUAGUAAACUGGAACUUACGACGUGGCCCAGUACGCUUUUUAUCCGCAGGCGGGGGAGGAAGUGUAAAGCUAUUACACGGAUGCCCUGGAGGAAGAUAGUAGCCCAAAAAAUAGCCAGGGGGUGGAGAGCUCAAUUUUGUAGUUAAGCCCAUUGCCUUUGUCGUAGAGAUCUCAGAUGUAGAAUCACUUGUAGACAUGCUUGCAUUAUCACUAAUGCUUGGUACUGUGUUUCCUUCCUGAGAAUCUUCACCUGAAAGCAAGCCACACGACCACCAUCAUGCUAUGUUCUGAAUAAGGUCAAAUUCAAACGACAUAUGAAAUCACAACUCACAGCACAUUCUAGUAUACCCAGUUGAGCCAAACAAAAGAACUAGGUAACAAUGGCAUAUCACCACAUAAAACAUUAAUGAUAAAAUUGAAAUCCCCCUCCCCACAGGUAUCCGACCAGUAAUUCUGUUCAAGAUAGUAUCAGAUACUAAAUACGGACAUUUUUUUCAGCAGGUGAUCGAACUAAGCUUCGUUGCAUUGCGGAAACUAUUACCUUCCACUAGACCAACAACUAGGUGCUUAAAUAGUAAUAAACACAUAAUUACAAUUUACCACAGCAACCAUAAAUAAAUAAAUGGAAGGAAAAAGGAGAGAGUGAGAGAACCUUUUCCAACAUACAAAACCCAGAUGAAAACUGCGGCAGAGAUGAGACAGAGGAAGAGCAUUCCGACCUUCUUGCGACCAGCGAACUUGCAGAUCCAAAGGAAUAACCUCUCCUUCUCCUUCUCCUUGAGCAUCUUUGAAGCCUUGCGUGCAGAGCCGUUCUGUACCUGUUUAUCCAAAGACCCAUAACUUCCAGAACGAAUUCCAAUUCCCAAUGGAGCAGACAUUUAUGCCCCACUCAUUCCUCACCCUUCUCUUUCUCUCCACCCAGAUCACGCAUUCAUCAACAUAACAAAACCCAACGUCACCAAUUCCCAAUGCACUCACACCAAUCCCACUCUCACUUCCAACUCAACAAUGGGAAAAACAAAUAAACAAUAACAAUAAAUCAAAAUUGAUUUCCCUUUGUGGGUAUUCAAGAUCCCGAAAUAACACAAAGAACAGAGCCAAAUGAAACUCGCGCCUCCUGAAAAAUCAACUGAAAUACGUUCAUAUUACACUGAAAAAAUCUUCCAAAAAUGGAGACGAAUCUAGGGUUUCUGAUUGGUCCUGUAGGGUUUUCUGAAAUCCGACACUAGGAAGAAAUCCGGGAUCGCAAAGUUCAAACUGUAAAAGAAAUUAUUGUUUAUUUUUCCGCUGAUCCGAAAGUAAGGAAGAUGAUCUCAGAGUCGGAGAAAAUUUCCAUUGAAUAUUAUUUAUAAGAGAGAAAAUUACCUUAUUGGGGAAUAAUCUUUUUUAAAAAAAUAGAAACCUGAAAAAUUGUGAACUCUGAAAGCUGGUCUGCACAAUAUUUGCCUCUUUCAGACACUCGUGCCUCACAAAUUAUGACGUGGAAUGCAAAACUGGCACUAUCCCUCCUCAUAUUUUGACAUCUGCUAACUAUAAUCAAUUAUUGUCGUUAACUCCACAGUGCUAUUAUUCUUAAUUAUUAUCAUUAACUCAAUGCUAUUAUAGUUCGAUUAACUAAACAAAAAUGCAUCUGAAAUCUCAACUUAAUAAUAUUUUUUUAAUUUGUUUGUCGGUAUUCCAUUUGUCCAAUUUCUGGACAGUCAUGAUGCUCUGCCUCUCCCUAUUAACAUGGUGAUUCAUCAACUCAUUGAUGUUUGUAUUAAUACAAGGAACUUUAUGGUGUUUUCAGAAAAUAUUCUGUGCCUACAAUUUGGAAGAUUGAUGAUAAUGCAGAGAAGACCAUUGCAGAGAGAUUAUCUCCACUCUUGUUAUAGAUAUUGAUGGAUAUGGAUCCUGAUAGCCUUUCUUAAUCACUGCAUAUGAUUAUUUUAUCAUCAUUGUAGACAUGUUUGAACACCUUCAUAAUAGGCAUGACAGAAACCAUUUUUCAAGUAUGAAAAAGUUUAUCUUGUUCAUAGAAUUUUAGUGGGUGAUUUUGGUUUUAAAUUUUUCACAAAAAUUUGAAGUGCGACAAAUGUUGAUCAUCAAUAUAUAGUUUCACACACGAGUUGACAGUCUCGGCAUGAGGGUUGUGUCGGAUAUCUCACAUUGACUAAAAAUUAGAGUAUUUUAUAGUAUAUAAAUAGGUGCAAAUUUCACCUAAUGAACCAGUUUUAUGAGGUUGAGUUAGACUUAAAAUACACUUUGUAAUAAUAGAUGUCUAUAAAAAAAAGUUGUUAAGAUCAUUUGUCUUUCAUUUUGAAGUGUUGCAUUGUGGUAAUUAUAAGUGGAUGAGUGAGUGUAUGAUUCAUAAACAAUUUUUUUAAUUCACGAAUUAUAGUUUCUAUAUGAAUUGUUGUUUUUGUUUCAAAAGUUAAGGAUGGCCAUAAACUUUUACAAGGUGAUCAAUAACUAUGUGUUUCUGUCCUCUUAUUAUAUUUUUUUAUUAAGGAUAACAUGUGUUUUUGAAAUUUGCAUUAAGACAUUUAACUCGUGAAAGUUUUCACUUUAAGUGUAAUAUUUCUUUUUUAAUUAAAGCUUUUAUUAGUUAUUUCAUCGUUUACUUUAUUAAGUAUUUUUCGUUUUCAUCCUUUCUUCUUUUUAUUCCUCUCUCCCUCUUUAUUUUAGGGUUAUUACUCUUUCUUCAUUUUUUUUAAACCACACUUUUUCUUCCUAGUGAUUGUUUUUAAGCAAUUUUUAUGACAUUUUUUUUCAAGGACUGUGAUGAAAUGAAAUAGUAGUUCUUUCAAUGGCUGGAGAAGGUGAUUUAAAAAAAAUACUUACUAUUAAUAAAAAAAAUUAGAAUUUUUUUAAAUAUUGAGAAUUUUACAUUAGAUUAUAAUUAAAAAAUAUAUUAAAAUAGAGUUAUUUUAAAAUUGUAUUCAUAAAUCAUACAUAUCUUAAAAUUGUAUUGAUAAAUCAUACAUAUCUCAAUAGUUGUUAAAGUAAUGUUUCUUUUAAUAAAUUGAUAAUAAAAUUAAAAGAAAAUGUUUUAAAAGAGAGGUAAAGUCCUUCUAUUUAUGAGUGUUGAUAAAUGUGAGUUUUGUUAGAGGUUUAUCUCAAAGACAUAAUUGUAUUCCAUAUAAUUAUUCUUCAUUUACAUUGUAAUAGGCACGAUCAAAUGUACAUCAUUAAUAUGUAAUUGUCUUUAAUUUGAGACAUAAAUAUUUUUCUUUGUUGUAUGGUGCAAUAAUUUUAUGUCAUAAGAUUUUUAUGUGAGGCAAUUAGUUCAUGCACCUGAGUAAAUAUGAACUUGCACCAUAUGAUAUAAUGAUAAAAAUGUUCUAAAAUAAUAAAAGGCGAAGAUAAAAAUACUUUCAGAAAUUAUUUUUUGAAAUUCGUUUUUAGAUUUGGAUUUCUGAAAUACUUUUUUCAAUUCUUCUGAAAAAUCCUUUUUAAAUGUCUUUCCACAUUUUGUUUCCUAAUUAUUUUUUUUCAAAACAUAUGUUUUGAAUUUUAGAUUUAUUUUUUUAAUAAAAUUUUGAUUUGUGAAUUUUAUUACAAAAUUUAAUUUAUGAAACACAAUAAUCUACUAUAGAUUUAUUUUUUCAGAAAGUAUUUUUUGAAUUUCAUAAUAAAGUAUAAUUUUGAAAUUUUAAAAGUAGAUAAGUGCAGGUCACAAUUGCUAAGGUGUUGGAGGGAUUUGUUUUUAUGUGAUUGUGAAUAGUGGCGGGUAUCAAAUUAAGACUAAACGAAAUAAUUAGUGAGUUCAACAAAGAUUAAUAUUACAUCAUUUAAAAAUAUUACGCUAAUAAUUUGUUAUAAUUCUGAAGAAAUUAUUUGUAAAGGUAAAAAAAUAAUAUAUUAAUUAAUAAUUGUAGGAGAUACUAAACAUAUUGUGAUUGUCAGCAUCCAAAAUCUAGAGAUGAAACAGCAGCAUUGAGUAAUUUGUUAGUAUUAAGCUGAAAAGGAAAAAAAAAAAAUUUUCCCAAUUUUGAGAUCUUUCCUCUUAGGGUUUGGGUUUCCUUGAAACUUGUUAGCAUAUAAAAUGAUUAGGGUGUAGUUUUGAGAUGAGGCUUUCUCUUCAAGAUCUAUCAUCCAAAAGGUUGGUUUAAGUUAGUGCAUCAUCCUUUCAUUCCUUUUCUGUGCAAGUUGCAUCAUAUUUAUCUGCUUUUUCAACAUUACAUUGUUUCUUUUGCAAAUUGGUGAAACGUAUUCUUCAUCAUANNNNNNNNNNNNNNNNNNNNNNNNNNNNNNNNNNNNNNNNNNNNNNNNNNNNNNNNNNNNNNNNNNNNNNNNNNNNNNNNNNNNNNNNNNNNNNNNNNNNCUAAACAACUAUAUAAGUUAAGGUUAGUAACGACUAAUAAUAUAUAUAUAUAUAUAUAUAUAUAUAUAUAUAAUCGGUCAAAAUAAUUGAUAGGAGAUCAUUCAAGUGACAUAACCAACAUAAAAUUAAAAUAUCUAAUAAAUGUAUCUAGACACAACAUGUUUAAUAUAACUACGAUAUAAAAUUAUACUUUAAUUUUUAAUUUAGAUAGAGUAUAAAAAUUUAAUAUAACUUUAUAGUUAUGCACAUCAACUAAAAACAAAAAUAUAUAUUAAACAAUAUUUAUUAUUCUCACAUUGAAUUUUAACUUAAAUGUAAUUUUUUACAUAAUUUCACCGUAGACAAAACGAAAUACCUUGUUCAUUGGCUAUGACCGUUCAGUAGAAGUUGAGUAUUUUCCGACCCUAAUGUAUGUAUGGAAAUGUUGACUAAUAAGAACUAUCCAUUUUCAAAUAAUUUAUGGUAAAAAAAGAGAGUAUAUUUUACACUUUUUCCAUGUUUCUUGUACGUACAUAAACGUAUACUGGAGUGUACUGAAAAGCCUCGAAGUAUAUAUUUUAUUUUCAAAGUACAAAAUUUAAUUAAAAUAGAAAGUUAUUAACAUUUGUUGUAAUUUGUUGUUCUUUUAAUUACGCCCAAAUGUCAUUUUAUUUUAAGUUUUUUAAAAUUAUUUAAGUAUUCACUAAAAAAUAUUAUUAAAUAAAAAUCAAUUUAAAAAAAAAUUAGUUGUUAUAAUGACUAAAUUAAAUAUUAUUUUAAAGACUAAAAAAAUUAUUGAUUUUUAAAUUAGUUUCUAUUAUCGAUAAAUAGUUUUUAAAUUGAAUUAGCUAAAAAAAAAAAUUCUAACAAAUUUAGAAAUCAAAAUUUUUUUAGUCUUUAUUACGAAGUGGACUUUAAGCCUGACUCAAGGCCAUAAAAUCAACUCAUAGGAUUGAGGAUUGCACCCACUUAUAUAUAAUGAAAUGUCAUAAUCUCUAGUCGAUGUGUGUGAUCUCCAACAGUCUUAUUAUUAAUUUAGUCCUAUUACUACUUUUUUUUGUUUACUUAAAAUCAAUAAAUUUUCGUUCCAUGUUCAACAAAAUUACAAGUUGGAUCAAUUCUUCUUUUUUGUUUACUUAACUCAGCAUAAUUUUUUUUCUCAAUAAACAUAAUUUUUUGUUUACUUAACUCAGCAUAAUUUUUUUUUCUCGAAAUACCAUAAAAAAAUCAAAUCCCUCUAUCUAUAUCAUAAUCUCACAUUUUACACUUUCAGAAUUUAUAGUGUGUCUUAAAAUCUGUAAUAUUUUUUAAUCAUGAAAAAUAAAAUAUUUGUUGAUUUAAAAUAGAAAAAAAUUGACGAUAUGAUUAUUUUCUAAUUUUAAAGACAUGUUUAUUUGAAAAAAAGUCUUAUAUUGUAUUUCCAUACAUUUAAUAAACUUGUAUCAAAAUGAAUGUGUGAUUUAUCCAGCAUAGGAUUUUUAUAAAACCAUUAUAUUUAUAUCUUGAGUUGGUACGGAAAUUGGAUCCGCGAUAGCUGGAGACAAGAGGUUCGUAUGAGAAAACAUAAGUAAACGAGCUUCUGCUUGAGCUUCUAAAGAUAAAGGCACAUGAACAGCCAUUUGAUCGCCAUCAAAGUCUGCAUUGAAUCCCUUGCUCCUCAUUGCCACGAUCGCCGCACACUUCUCCGGAUUAGCUUCGAUUCCCCGCUCUGUCAAGAGGAAGCCCAAGAACUUCCCAGCCUCCACACCGAAAAUGCAUUUCUCAGGGUUGAGCUUCAGCCUGUACUUGGCAAUGGUGGUGAAUAGCUCUUCCAGAUCAGCUGCAUGAUGCUUAUUCUCUACGGACGUAACCACCAUAUCAUCUACAUAGGCGUGUACGUUUCUUCCCAGCAUGGGCGAGAGCACCCUGUCCAUGAGCCGCUGGUAGGUAGCCCCCGCAUUCUUUAACCCGAAUGGCAUGACCUNNNNNNNNNNNNNNNNNNNNNNNNNNNNNNNNNNNNNNNNNNNNNNNNNNNNNNNNNNNNNNNNNNNNNNNNNNNNNNNNNNNNNNNNNNNNNNNNNNNNUUAAUAUCUCAUAUGUGCCUCACAUGAAUAUUAUUGCAAUAACCUCUCCUCUUCAUUAAUAUAUAUUAUGAAAAAUUGUUUUAGUGAGAGUUUCACUCAUUAAAAAAAGUUCAUUUUCAAGAUCUUACUUUACUUUAUAAUAUAUAUAUUAAAUAUAGUUUCAUUAUAAUUAUUUUAAAAUUUAAUUAUAAUAUUAUUAUAAUUAGACAUAUUUGAAUGUAACUUGUUAUAAUAUUCACAUUAUAAUUUAUAUAAGUUACAAUAAUUAAAUAUGAAAAUUUAAUAUAAUGUUAUAGCAACUCUAAUAUUUAUUUAUAUUUUAAUUUUUUUUUUAACAAUACAAUGUUUAUUUUAUUAUUAAUCUAAAUUUUAAUUCUUUAAAAUAUUAAUUGGUUUUUCAUAAAUAGUUGUAUAAUAAAUAUGUGUACUAUUAUAUUUUUCUAUCAUUACAACUAUUUUUUCUCAACGUUAAUUAAAUUAAAAGUAUACUUAAAAAUAAAUUAUUCAUAUUAAAAAUAAGAAAUAAAAAAAACUUAAUAAAUAAAAAAGGAAGAGAUCCGUAGUUAAUAACCUCACGUAUACGUAUUGACUGACUUUUGGUAUUUUAAAAUUGAACUAUUUCUUUUAACAAGAAAAAUCAACCAUUUUGAUUAGUCAAUUCUUCAUACUAAUUGUUAAUUAUAUACUUUAUCAUAAUUAAGCAUAUUUAUGUCAAGUUGUCACCAACCUAACCCAAUGGUUUUUUUGCAAUCAAUAAAAUGAUAAAUACUUCAAUAGGUUUGACCGGGUUGACUCAGCAUGACAUUAUUGACAUUGAAUUCACAAUCCAAUUUGCAUUAAAAAACACAAAAACAAAAUGCAUUUAGCCAAUUUUGUACGUUUUUUUAAUCUAAAGUUUGUGGAACGUUGAUUCAUUGACUGCCCUUGCAUAGGAUUUUAUAAGAACGUUCAUCCGAAUCUAAUAUGAUACAAAUUUAUAAAUAAUAAAUAUAUGUUUGGAAGAAAAAUAUUUUAUUAUUGUAACACUCCAUGACAUAAGGAUUAAGUCAUUUUUACGUGCAUUUUCAGAUAUAUCUCUUAUUUCUUAAUUACUUAAUUAUAUAUAUUUAUAAUAUAUAUAUAUAUAUAUAAAAGGAUUUACAAAGAAACUAAUGUAAUAAGGAUUUACAAAAAAUUAAUGUAUACAAAAUGAAUACUAUAUGAUUUUGUAAAAAUUACUCAAUAUAUCUAAAUUCAAUAUAUCACAAGUUUUGUGGUAUUCAAUUUGUUUAUAAUAUCUUUAAAUGUGAGUUUUGAAAGACUCGUUUUAGGUAUGUUAUGUUAGACACUACCACUUAAAAUAAGAUUUUGAUUUACAAGUAGAUUGUAAAAUAAAUUAUGAAUGUAAGUUAAUUGCAUUCAAAGUCUAUGCACUUACAAAUGUUAUAGUGUGCAAGAAAUUUUCUUCAAUUUGUCAUCAUUUGAUGUCUUAAUUUACAUGAUUUAGAUCAUCAAGAAAGCAUGAAGAUUUAAGUUAGUCACAUAUUUGUAUACUUAAUAGAUAUAAUCAUAAAUUAAUUAGCAUAUCAUUUUACAUAUGUUAGUAACUUCAAGUGAAUAUAUAUCAUAUAAUGCGAAUUCACACAACAUGACAAUGCUAGUCCAAUCAUUACAAUGUUGCCCCAACUCAUAACAUCACAUUCUUACAUUAGUUAAUUGAACAUAACAAAUUAUUAGACUUUUAAUAAUGUCACUUCAAUUAAACUAUGUUGUUUGAGCAACUCCCAAUAUUUUAGAACAAAAGAGAUCACAAAAUCUCCCUCGUUCAAGCUAUAAUGUAUUGCUUAAGUGAUAGGUGUCAUAACUUUAGUGUUUAAUAAUUGAGCGAUAUACCUCUAAAAGAGAGAAAAUCAAUUUGUUGUGUUCUUCGCUUAAACCAAGAAUCAGUUGUGUUUGAAUAAUAAAGCACGUCACUUGAGCAACAUAGAUAUCAAUUAAGCGAUAUAGCUCUAUAAGACUUAGAAAUCAAAACAAAAACUCACCAAAUAUCUCAAAGAUCCAUUGCAUAUGCGACUAGUUACACUAGACUGAUGAGCUUCAUAGAGAGGAAAUGAUCAUUACAGUCUCUCUCUAUCAAGUUUUGGCUUUUAGCUUGAGCAAUUAGUGAUAUUGCUUAAGUGGUUAUUAUCUAGUCACCCAAGUGUAGGGAUGACAAUGUAGAUUGGCCCACCCCGCAUUUGACCCAUCCUGCAUAGAAUAUGUGGGUUGAUUUUACUAGUCCGCCUCACAUAAGGGUUGGCUCGCGGACCAGUCUGUAUAAGAAAUAUUUGUUUAAAAAAUUAAUAAAAAAUAAUUUUUUAAAUAGAAAUUUAGAUUGUUUUUAUUUAAAUGCAUUAGGUAAAUGGUCUCAUAAUAUUAUUCUCACGACACAUACAUAAUAAGAUGUGAGUAAAAAUUAUGAAAUGUGAAAUAUAAGGUUGCAUGAACAAAAUAUGGGGGUGCAAAAAGAAAUUUAUAGAUUUUAAAGUUACGUGGGUCAUGUAGGCCAGCUUGUCUUGCCCUGCAAUUGGCCCGCGCAGGCUGCGAGUUAAGUGGGGGCGGGCCUUAGCAUCUCAACAGGUUGGAAUAGAUAACUCACCCCACGUUUUCCGCAAUGGGUCGUAGGCUAGCCCGCACUAUCCGUCUCGCUUUAUCAUCCCUACCCAAGUGAUAUUGUUUUGCGUUCAAGAUGUUCAAGUUGAUAACUCUCAUUUAAGUGCUUAAGCAAGAUAUGCAAAAAUAUUUUUUUUAACAAAGUUCAAAAUGUAUCCAAAUCUAAAAUUUCCCUAUUUAAUUAUCCUAACAAGUUUAAAACACAUAAUUGAACUCAGUAAACACAUCAUUUUACUCACUUUAAGCAUCACACCUCAUUUUAACUCUCAUAACCAUUAAGAAUGUUCAAACUAAAAUCAAUCAAAUUCAAUUUCAAUACUCAAUCCAAUGAUUCAACAACAAUUACAAUCAUACACAAAUCAAUAAAUUCAUUAUAAUUUAAGAUAACUUUCCUUAUUUGACAGUUACCUAUUCGUCCAACUAUAAUUAUAAAAGAGUCAGAUGACACCAAAAUUCUAAAGUCAAUAAAUUCAUUCUUUCUCAACCGUUCAACUCAUUAUAUCUCAACCAAAACUACUCAGAUAUCUAAGGCCCUUUCUUUAUCAGCAUGUGAAAAGGUACAAUAGUACAAUAGACGUAGUAGUUAUAAUCAAAUUUCAAUUAUAUGUAAUUUUUUUACUGUUUUCUAUAAUUACUUGACAUUUAUACUAUUGUUAUUUGAUACUUUAUUUUAAGAUUUAUAUAAUUUUAUUCCUUAAUGUAUGACAUUUUAAAUCUUUAACAAUAUUAUGUUUUUUUUAUAAAAAAUAAUUUAAUGUAUAAUAGGACAAAUAAAUAUAAGUUUUUAUUUUGUAAAUAAAAACUAGUCAAACUCACACAUCCUCUUGUUAUCCUUAAUCAACAUCCUCUAAUGUACUUUAAUUAAUUGAAAACUAAUUUUAUUCAUUUAUUUAGGUAAAAGGAAUUAAGGGUAUUUUGAUAAAGAAAGAAAAAAGUAUUGAAAGAAACAAACAAGUUAAGAAAAAAAAAUGUCUUAGAUAUAGACAAAAGUGAUAUAUCAUGACUUAAAUGGAUGAAUGAAUACAUAAUUUAUUGAUUCAUUAGUGAGUGCACAUAAUUAUGUCUAUCAAUACCUAACUUUAAUGAGCACUUAUGAGCUGAUAAGGGUUGGUGAUUAAGAUUAGUGAAUAAAGCAUGUCUUUAGAAAUUAUAAUGAAUAAACUUUGACAUAGAGGAUUGGUCUUUGUUGGUUUUUGGUGCAUGUUUUGGGAAGGACAUUAAAUAGGUUAGUUCAACCGUAGCCUAAUUAAUCUCAAUCCUAUGCCUAUUAUAGAUCCAUACAUAGUCCCUGGAAAUAAGUGAAUCAAAUCUACAAUAAACACAAAAUAAAUAUGUAUUUUAAAGUAAAAGUAUUAUUAUAUAUAUGCAUAACUUACAUUUUAUAUUAACUUUUAAAAUUGUAUUUAUUUAAUGUUUUAUUUUAAUUAAUAAUAUUUUUAUAGUAAUGAUUCUUUAGAUAUGUUUAAAUUAAACUAAAAUAAAAUUAUUAAUGAUAAAAUCAUUAACCAUGAAAGAUUUUUUUAGAGUGGAUUUAUAUAUAGAUGGUUUUUAUUUGAAUUUAUGAAAUUAAAGUUAUUUUUAAAGAUAUUAGCUUUAGUUUAAAAACCUACACUUGCAUUAUAACUUAUUUGAUUUUUUUUAGAAAGACUAAUUUUAUUUAUAUUAGUAUUUUAUAAUGUAACUGUAAUUGAAUUAUUUGAAGAUAAUCUUUAUUUAACCAAUGUCAAAUAACACUUUUAACUUUAGUUAGGAUUAAAUCAAAUUUGAUCAACUUUGUUUCACAAGUAAUUUUAAGACUUAAGAUAUAUUUUCCUUUUACUUAACUCCUCAAAAACAAUAUUCAAUUUACAUGUGUUAAAUAUAUAGUUAGUGUUUCUUUUUGAACCAUUAUGAAACUCUUCUUUUGAGUAUGAUUGAGCCAUUUAGUGGUAAAACUUGUUGAACUAGACAUAUUAUUUCUCAUCCUCUUCGAAUAAGAGUGUUUUAACGUUUUAGGCUUUUACGCUAGUGUGUUAAUUCCUUUGUUGUUUAUGUAAAACAUAUUAAAACCUUUCUUGCUUUACUUCUUUUAUUCCUUAUUUUUUUGAAAAUAACAACACAUAUAUAGACAUGUUCUCCUUAGUUACCUUUGCAGAUAGCAUGAACGACUCCACUUACAAGAUCCAUAUCUACUUGUAUUGAAACACUUCUUACUAGAAUCAUACGUCCAUUUGGAAUAUUAAGAACCCUUAAGCGAGAUCCUAUAGUUUCAUGAGAUUUAUCAAGACACUAAGUUAAUUUUAUGUGAAGUUACUAGACAAUGAUGGUUGAACAACAUCAAAACAUCUAAUUUUGAAUUUGAUUAUAAGAUUACAAUAUAUUUUAUGAACCUUAACAAUAAUGGAUAUCAAAUACGAUAUUUGUGAGAAGUGUUUGGAAUAUUAUUAUUUUUUUUCACUUGUAAAUAAACUAUGAGGAUAAUAAUUUUAUUUAUAUUAUGUACACUUCUUAUACUUUUAGAAAUUCAAGUUAGAUGCUCUUAAUAAAAUAUCUGUGUAGUAAAUUUAAAUGUAAUGUUCUUAAUAAAAUGUUUGCGUAGUAUAAAAAAAAGCGAGUUAAUGUAAUUUUCUUAAAUAAACAAAACAAAUGUAUAGAAUUUUAAAAAUACUACAGUAUUACUUCAAUUCAAAACAACAUUUGAAAGAUUAAAUAUAAUUUAGUCAAUUAUUAAUAAUUCAUAACAAUAAUGUACUAAUUUAAGAUCUGUUUGUUUACACACUUUAAAAUACAUGCUUAAACUUUCCUUUAAAAGAUUUUUGCUUCCCUUUCAUCAAACCAAGAGGCACAUUAUGUACCGGCUAGAUAAGUCAAAGAAUAAUGUGGACCCCACAAUAAUGUGAAUAGUUGUUUUGUAUGCAUCUUGUUCUUUGAGUCUUUUGCUUAAUUAGGUGACUUAAGAAAAAGUGAAGCAAAAGAACGUUAUUUGGUACUAUAUAGUUAUUUAUAUCAUGAGAAGCAUCAAGCACCAGUGGUCUAGUGGUAGAAUAGUACCCUGCCACGGUACAGACCCGGGUUCGAUUCCCGGCUGGUGCAAUUUUUUAUUUUUUGCUUGAUUAUCUUAAUUUUAUAUUUUUUAAAAUAAAUUAAAUUAAAAACGUUUAUUGACUGUUUUCCAAGUUAUAAAAAAUAGCAUAAAAUAUACCAACUUUAAUGAGUUGGUAGACUUUAUACAAAAUUAGACUACGUCAUAAUGCGUCACUACUGACGGAAAGAAGGCACAAGUACAGUGUUGAUUUUUUUGUUAUCUAUUUUCGAUUGAACAGUGAGUAUUUCUUAUAUAUAAGGUAUGUAUUUGGAUGAUUUUUUUUAACUUUUAAUAAAUUAAAAUUAGCUUAUGUAUAUACAAUUUAAUUCGUAAAUGUUUAAGAAGAUUAUAAGAGAAAUGUUGUGAAAAAGAAGGUAUAUUUGGUAAAAGAUGAAGAAUAAAAGGGAGUCAAAUGCGAAAUUCACAUUCCGUUCCCAUCUUGUGUUUGUUUGAUGUGAGGCGUGAGUCUUCGUCCUUCAAUUGUUGGCCAUAGAAUUUCAAUCUUUCUCUCUCCUAUCAUUCAUAGUCAAAUUCUUCAUAUUCUUCAAACAAAAUGCAAAAAUAGCAAUCCUUCUUAUCCAUGUCACGAGAAAAAUGUUAGACCCAGAGAUAAAAAUCUUAGUUCUAAGUUCUUUCAUGUCUCCUUGCCUUUUUAUUUUCAAUUACAAUUUUAUCAUUGUAACUCAAAAAUUUAAUAUUAAUCAUUCAAAGACCGUACUAUAAGGAUGUUUUGUUUGGUCAGUGUGAAAUAAUAUUUGAAUAUUGCAUGGUUUUUAAAUUUUUCAUUGACAAUAAGUGAAAGCAUGGUCACCCCAUGUCCCCAUGUAUUUGUCUUUUCUAGCUUAAGUCAAUAAUACAAUUUAUAAUUGGAUUUUUAUUUUGUUUUUUUGCUAAUAGCUAAGGAACAUGAGAGGCCAUUAACAAUGAAACAAAUGGGUAAGGGUGAAAAAAAAACAAGUUGUUUUCCAUUUGUUGUUUUUGGGGUAAACAAGGUACAACAAGUGGUGUUGGUUCGUACUUUAGGUGCGAAACUUUAGUGUAAAGGCCAAAUGGUUAACUUUAGGAACCGUAUCGUACCACGAAAGGAACCGUACCUAAGCCGAGUGGUGUAGUUGCGUUCAAGUAUUCAUUUGGGAAAUAAUAAUAAUAUAUUAAUAAGAAUAAUAAAUAAACAUAAAUAAAAUUGGAAUCCGUACCUUAUUCUUCCCGAUAGUGACACAUGGAUUCCUCCAUUCACUCACUUUUUUUUUUUUUGUGUGAAACAAAUAACAAAUUUUAAAAUAUUGAUAAAGCAGUGCUGCACUUAUUAUUAUAUUUUUGGAAAAAUAUAAACUUUCAUCAAUUUUGGAGUAGAUUUUACGUAGAAUCGUGGAAGAAAAGAAGUGAGAGAAAGAAACAUAUGAUAAAUGACAAAAAACGAAGAAAAAUUAUGAAAUAAUGUUUACAUGUAGAAAUUAUAUUUAGUAUUAUGGACGAGUUCGGAAAAUUUUAAAACUGACCAAAUAACAAUAUUUACAAAUUUAAAAUAAUUAAAUUUUUAUAUCUAUUUUUUUUUUAAAAAAAACGGAUCCUAAAAUUCAUUUGGAAAUAAAUUGACAGAAUUUUACUAGUUACUUUAUAAUAGCUACUCUAAGUUAGAUUAAAUUGUUGGUUUUUUUGACAAUUCUAAUUAAAAACUAUGUAAUCUACUUUAGAAAAACAAAAUUGAAUAUACUGUAGAUGUAUUUUAUUUUAUUUUAGUAAACAAGAGAGUUUAUAACAGUUACAUUACCAAGCAAAAACUUUAAAACUAUAUUAGCAAAAAAAAAAACCCAAACUUCCUAUUUGUUCUCUCUUGUGACUUUUAUUUUCUUCCUUUCCUCGCUUUUAUCUGAUUGAUUAGCUUUUAAUUUUUUUAGCAAUUAGCAUACGAAUUUCAUUUUGUGCACACCGACAGUAUAAUUUGUUAUAAUAUCAGCCAAUAAAAUAUUACUAUUUAUAUAACUUUUCAAAAUAAUUUUUACAAAAUUAAUAAAUAUAGAGCACAGUUUAUGAUUAAAUUGUAACAAUUAUUCACAUAAUAUAUUCCUUACAUACAAGUAUUAAGAAAAAUUAUUCUUAAAAAACUAAAAUUAUUACAUAAACUAAUGCGUACGCAAGUUCUUGUUCUUCUAAGAAAAGAAAAGGUGCAAAUGCAACUUAGGUAAAUCAUUAAUUACGGUGAGCGUAUAUUUUACCAAUAACUAAAAUUAUUAAAAAUGGUCAAACAUUUAUUUAUUGUUUGGUAAACAAGUAUUAUGAUCUUUAAAAAUUGGAUUAAAAAAUAAAAAAAAAUAUAUUUAACUUUUAAUUUAAGUAUUUAUUAUUAUAAUUAUUGUAAAAAUAAAAAAAGUUAAAAGAAAAUUAUGGAAAAGAGUGAUUUUGAUUAUUAUUAUUAUUUGAAUGUUGGGAAAUAUAAUGAGUGAUAAUAAAUAUUUAAUACGCAGAAAGGAAGGAAUAUAAAACAUAAAGUGGGCGUAAUAACUGUCUUGCAAGUAACGAUGAGCACACCCAUCCCCGUCUCUACCCUACACGGUUUCCAUUCACCCCACCAGAGGAGCAAAACUCAUCAUAACCGUUUCUAGUCCAAAACAUCAUGUUCCAAAUUGGACAAUCCACGGUCUCUAUUUCCUGCGUAUGUGAUACGAAGUGUUUCACAUUCCUAUUGACUUGACCAUUCUAAAAUUGUAUUCUCAAGCUAAUUACAAAAAAAUACAACAACACUUUUCUUCUUCUCUCCAUUUCUCUCUCUCUCUCUCUCUCUCUCUCUCUCUCCGUGGAAAGUGGUAUUUAUUAGGUGCAGGAUUUUUCUGUCUUUCCCACCAUAUUAUAAGCUCAACGAGUUCUUAUAGCAAAAACAAGCACACCCUUUGCAGCACGCUGAUUUAAUUUUUUCUGUUCUUGAGGUAAUGCAAUUUUAGCAUUCUACUCACACCCUUUCCUUCUUGGUAUUUGGGGAUGCUUCUUUUAAAAGAAAAAAUUAAACUUUUAUUUCUUUUCUACCAUUUGGCUUGCCGUGAUGUAAUUUCUUUUGUUUCUGUAUCCGGGUCUUCUAAAUAUAAUAAUAGUUUAAUUGGCUUGUCACUCCUUAAAAUAAUGAGUAUUAUUGUUAUUGAUUAGUGUAGUCAAUGGGGACGUAUAAUGAUGGUUGUUUCUGCAUUAUCAACGUAAAAAAAUAAUAAGCAGCAGCAGAAACAGUAUUAACAAUCUUUAACUCAUGGUUUCUGCUGAUUUGAAUUAAAGUGAGUUUUUUUUUGGGUUGAUUAGUUUAUUCUGGUAUCUAUGUGGGAUUUGCAGGCAUUUACGGAAGGUGGGGUUUGACUUUGCAGGUUAAAGGUGUCAGCUGUGGAGGUUACGGAAGGUCAAGUUUUUUAUUCAUUGGAGUUUCUGUUACCCCUACAGCACUGCAUGUUUGUUGGCUUUUAAUUGAGAUUUUUUUCUCUUGGGGGGGCUUCCAUCACCGAAUGGAAUUGGAUCUUUCAUCUCAGAUCAACUCAUUGUUCCUGGGUUCUGAUUCCUUUGAGUGGUUUUCUCAUUCCAUGUGGGAAGCUUUUAAUUUUUCAUGGUUCAAUCCCUCAGAUGUUGUUGACGAGUUUGAGUAAAUCUAGUUAGUCUGAGAAGGUUGUUUAAGGGACCACCCUUUUGGCUUUGAGACUUGUUCUCAGUUGUGGAUAAAGUGUGAUUUAGUAACUUGAAGGUGUUUCUAGUUUUUUUUUUUUGAAGAAGGGGUUGGGAUAAGAUGGAUGAUGAUGGCAGCAAUUCUUGGCUAAGGAGGACGAAAUUCUCCCACACAGUAUGUCACCGGUUGGAUUAUUCCAGUUCCAGAUUAGGGUCUUUCAGCAUUCAGCCAAGGUCACAGCACAGUUCCAGUGCGAAAUCAAGGCCAGAUGUAACUUUUGUUUCCAAACCCUCCUCGCAGGUUCUGAAAAAGCCCAUAAUGAGCAAGCAGAGAUCUUUGUCCCCUUUGCCUGAAACCUCUCUCUCUGAAACCUUCAAGGAAGCUAGACAUGAGCGGAAGAGGUUCUCCACACCUGGUCCAAGGAGGAAGGAGCAUGAUAAGAGAAUCAUGGGGAAGUUACUGAACAAGGAUUCUCAUGUAUCCAGUUCUAAAUCCCCUUACAGCAGUCCAAUGAUUAAAUCCCCUUACAACAGUCCAAUGACCAAAUCCCCUUACAGCAGUCCAAUUAGACACCUUGCUUCAAUGAAAUUAAGCGACAAGUCCAAACAGCGCAAGGAUUCAGGAUGGACAAAGUAUUUUGAACAUGGAGGAGGAAAGGUGACUGCUGUGGAAACAGCUGAGGAAUGGAAUGUUGAUCUCUCUAAGCUCUUUGUUGGUGUUAGGUUUGCUCAUGGGGCUCACAGCAGGCUUUACCAUGGCAUGUAUGAGGAUGAAGCUGUGGCUGUAAAAAUUAUCAGGGUACCAGAUGAUGACGAAAAUGGAAUAUUAGCUGAUCGAUUAGAGAAACAAUUCAUUAGAGAAGUGACACUUUUAUCUCGUCUCCACCAUCGAAAUGUUAUAAAGGUAAUCUAUAAUCCAAUCCUUUACCUUGUUUUGUUUACAAACUUUUAUUUACUUCAUUUUAAAAGCUUGUGGUUCUGUUGUUGUUUUCUGAUGAAAAGAAGAUAUGCAUGUGUAUUAUUUUUUACACCUCAACUUUAAAACCUUUUAAAAGGAGGAUAAGGUGGAACAAGAAGCGCAGCAUACAUCAUACUUUUAGUGAAGAACAGCACUGCACGCACCUGAUUAACUUUUUCUAAGUUUUGUCCUUGCUUUUGUUCUGAUGCGGUCUGUUUUUCUUGUUGAAUACAAAGCGGACAUAGCCCUUAUUUUGUGCUGCUAAUUACUGGACUAGACCUUUUAGUUAUGUUUAAAUAAUCACCCGUGAAAGUAAGAAUACUGCAUUAUAAAUUAUAAAUCCUUUAGUCUGAUUGCAAACUCAUACAAUGUUGAGAGAAUUUAAUGUGAUUAGAGUCUGGUACUUAUACACUUAUCUCAUUUAUCUUGAUCUGAUUACACAGUUCGUAGCAGCAUGCAGAAAGCCGCCUGUGUAUUGUGUUAUCACAGAAUAUCUAUCAGAAGGUUCCUUGAGGUCAUAUUUGCAUAAGUUGGAGACAAAAACUAUUCCUCUGGAGAAGCUAAUUGCUUUUGCUCUGGAUAUUGCUCGUGGGAUGGAAUACAUACACUCUCAAGGUGUCAUUCACCGAGACCUUAAGCCAGAGAAUGUCCUUAUUAAUGAAGACUUUCACCUCAAAAUUGCUGAUUUUGGCAUUGCUUGUGAGGAAGCUUACUGUGACUUGUUUGCUGAUGACCCUGGUACCUACCGCUGGAUGGCACCUGAGAUGAUCAAACGAAAAUCCUAUGGGAGAAAGGUUGAUGUAUAUAGUUUCGGGCUUAUCUUGUGGGAAAUGGUUACUGGAACUAUCCCAUAUGAGGAUAUGACUCCCAUCCAGGCUGCUUUUGCAGUAGUAAACAAGGUAUGUUCCUUUGCAGUUAAGUCAUAUGGAUCUGUAAUGCAGAUAUAACAAUCUACUAAUACUUGUAACAUCAUUCUUCAUUGCCAGUAACUUUAUUCCUUGUAAAGUUUUGUAUUGCUUUUGUGCUCUAUGCAUUGAAAUCCUGUCAAUGGUAGAAAAAGUUCCAAAGCCUCAUUUAUCCUACUAAAUCGCACUUCUUCUAUGGUUUCUUAUCUUUCGGUGUUGUUGGUUGCUCAAGGCCACUGGCACAUAAGAGUAAUGCCAACUAUAAUUGUGUUCAAUUAAUGACACACAUUGCUUACAGAUAGACAAUGCAUACUAUGUUUUGCAAUCUUUGAGUGUAUUUUAUGAAAGUGACUGACCUCUCACAUGUAGCAGGCAUUUUUUGCCUUGUUCGCCAGGGAAACGUUGGUGCUUUCGAAGUUUCUGAUUGUGAGGAAAAGGACAAUUUUCUUUUUUUCAAAGCUUCCUCCACUUUACUUAUAUCAUGAUUUAUCCACUCUUUCGAUUUUCAGCCAUUUUUUUCUCAUAUUUACUUGCUUUAUUUUAGUUUUUAUUUCAAUGUUGAGUGAUGAUUGCCAAAGGAGGCAUCAUUCUCCUGGCCGAGGAAAUCAAUCAUAUUGCUACUGUAUAAAUUGUUCACACAUAACCCGUCUGAUGAGUAGUACUCUGUAAUUUAUAGCUAAACCAAAUGUAUUUUUGAUAUGUUGCUUAGGUACCUCCUUUGCUUUGAAAACAAUGGCUAAAGUAAUAGAAAUUAUUUUCAUCCAUUCUUGACUGUAUUGCUUGCUAAAUGAGAGGAAAAAAGAUGUGGCAUGGCAUGCAUUAGUUUAUAUGAAAUCGUUAUAUGAUAUAUCUGUUUCAUCAAGUGAUGUGGCACAGUAGUUGAUAAGAUUUCCAAGAAUGGGGCUUGUUGAAUUCUUAGGAUCAUCAUAUAUAGGUUAAUUGUGGGAAAUAUUUGCUAGUGAAAACUCUAAUGACACGGUUUACAAUGAAAUUGUAAUUUGUAAUACUUUUUGUGAUUUUGUAUUCAGAAUUCAAGGCCAGUUAUUCCUUCAGACUGUCCAGCUGCAAUGCGAGCUUUAAUCGAGCAAUGUUGGUCUUUGAAUCCGGACAAGAGGCCUGAGUUCUGGCAGGUUGCUAAGGUAUUAGAACAAUUUGAAUCUUCGCUUGCUCGUGAAGGAACCCUGACUCUGGUGCAAAACCCUUGUUGUCAAGAUCAUAAGAAAGGGCUUCUCCAUUGGAUUCAAAAGCUUGGUCCUGUGCAUCAAAACAAUGGUCCUGUGCCUAAACCCAAAUUUACAUGAGUCUCCGAAGUGGGCUAUGUCUUUUUGUAGUAUACCGGGUUCAUUGUAAUUAAUAUUGAAUGGUUUGCUAUACCCAAAAGAAAAACCAAAGGUUUGUUUUUUAGGUUCUCUAGCUGUAGUCCUCUUAUGGUGUUCAUGUGAGAGUAAAUUGAUUUGUAGGCUUGUACAUUGAAGUGGAGACAUCUUCUAUUUUUAUUGUUGUGUAUACCACCAAUUACAAUUAAGUAAUUGCAAUAGGUUAAAAGUUUUCUUUUUUGGGGAGUGGGGGCACAAUUUCUUCUAUAUUUGUUAUAAAAGGUACUGUAUUUUUAGUUUCUGUAAUGUGAAAGUUUUAAUUCUAUAUUUUUGUGUCAUUUUCUUGACUAAUGCAAUGAACCUUGCACACUCAACUGGUGAGAGUGUAGCUCAUAAUUACUUAUUUUGCUUUCUUUGUAAUUCUGUUUUACUCUUCUGGGUCAUAAAAUUGAAUCUAAAGUAGGCUACCAUUCAACUUAAUGAUGUGAAAUGGCAAAACUCUGGAACUGUAGCAACAUUCAAUUGCUAAUGGAAAAGGGUGAACAUGAGAAAAAGUAAUGACAUGGAUGCAAGACAUGAUGGUGUAUCAAACAGUCAUACAAGAUAUUUGUUGAGAUUCAAGGGUAUUAAAGUAAGUAACAGGGUUUUAAGUAGCUGAUAUGGAUCAACACUUUUUAUUGAUGAUCACUUUUUCCCAUCUAAAAACGUCUCAUUAUUCAUUCAGUGACUUAAUGCACAGGUAGUACGUUUUGGAAUGCAUGUGACGAUAAAACUGUUUGCUUUUGGGGUUUAUGCAAUAUAUUCUACCUUCGACUACCUGUGGCUUCAACUAACUAACUAAAUACUUGUACAAUAUGUUAUUCCUCAUUGAAAGCUUAAAUAUCAUAAACUUUAUUAUUUGGUUGCUGUUUGUUGAGGACGUAAAUGAGUCACAUUCACAACACUUUACCCAUAAAUGACACACUGUAGGAUGAGGUUUAUGUUUGUGUUGUCAAAUUAUAGCUUUUAGCACUUUUACUACACAGGACUUAAGUAUGUUCAAUGAAUCUGAAGGAUUGCAUGUGACUAGCUAAAUUCUAUUGGAUCAGUUGGCUAUGCUAAGGCCUUCAAAUGAGUAUGACAAUUGUUAGGUAAAGAAAGGCUACGUUUGUUUGUUUGUUUAGGAGCAUGUAGCAGUGUGACUAAGCAAGCAUGCUAGUUGUAUAUUAAAAUUUGAUGUUGCUGAUGUAAUUCGACUAAUCUUUUGUUUUGUCAAAAUGCAAUGUUUUUGGUGACCUAUGCCCUCGGUUAGGUGGCCAUGCAUUUGCAAGGAUAAGCAUUAUCACGUUAUAAAUUAUUGAAACGUUAUUGCAGUAGACCCCGUGAUAUAUAGCUUCUUUUUGAAACUGGAUUCUCUUUCAUUGGGUUUUUUCUGUUCCAAAUAGGACAAGAGUGAGUAGUUUUUGGGCUCUUUGGCAACUUGUUCUCAGGGUUCUCAUGAUCAUUUUCAUUGUUUGUUUGUUAAUACAGAGGAUGAAGAUGCCACUAGUGACCCAAAAGUAGUUGCAGAGUGUUCUUGCAUUUAAUUAUAACUAUCAUUUAAGCAGUGUUUUGUUGGCAUCAAUGAAUCAAAGUUAAGUUUACGUAAGCAACAUAAUUUUAUGCUUCUUUUCCUUUCUACUGUUUUCUUGGUAGUCAAUAACUCAUGAAAAGUUAGAAAUACACACUCAGUUUUAUAAAUUUUAACAAAUAAUAAAUGUGUUAACAAUUAUUCUAUCAGUUUCUUCUAUUUGUAGUUUUUUUUUAAGUUUAAUAUAAUAUUAAUUACUACCUAAUCUUUAUUAAAUUUACUUUCAAUUUGUCAUAUAAGAGUAAAAUACGAAAUUUUAUAAUUAUUUUAUUAGGAUCAAAAAAAUUAUUAUAUGUAUUAGUUUUUACCUAUAAAUCUUAGGACAGACAUCAAAUAUAAUGGAAGAAUAUUUUUAAAUUUGAAAGCAUCUUUGUUGUAAAAGUUAUUUUAUAAUAUCUUAAUUUAAUUUUUAUGAAUUAUUUUAAAUUUUCUCUAAGUUUUUUUAAUUUGUACUUCAAUAUAAGAGUCUUAUAAUUUACUUGAUUGAUAGCAGAAAUGUAUACUUUUAAAAUAGAAAAAAUAUUCUUUUUAUUAUUAUAGAAAGGUGUUCUAAAUUCAAAUCUUUGUAAUUACUUUAUUAAGCAAAAAAAGUUACAUAUCUUCGAAUAUAAACGAGCAUAUGAUUAUAUCUUUACAAAUGUAAAAUGGAAAGAAAAAACUUUUCUAAACUUUUUUUACUAACUGGAAUUUGGAAUAAUUUGUAAUAUUUUUUAAUUCUAAUUUUAUAUAUUUAUUUAUCAUCUAUCUUGAAAUAUUUAUUAACUUUUAACAUAAAAUAAGAUUUUAUUGUAUUCUUUUAUUUCUCUUCAUCCAUUCAUAAAGUAGAAUUUUAUCAUAUUUUAUGUAAGAAAAAAAAAGAUUAAUUUUAUCUUUGCAUCUUUUAUAUUACCCGUGGGUUUUAACUAUUACAUUAUUUAUAAUUUUAAUGUUAUAUUUCAAGAUAAUUGAUACACAUGUUUAUUCACUAGUGUAGAGUAUUUUGAAACAAUCAAAAUUUGGUUUUGGUGAGUGUACUCAAUCCUAUAUAAGUUUUAGUCCUUUCUUCUUCUUUUCUUUUGGGUAUUUGUUAAGGGAAAGUUUUACCAGUAUAGGAUUGAACUUUUGGAAGCUUGCCUGAUUUAGUGGAGUUGUUGGAGAUGAUUUUCUAAGAGAUUAUUGCAAAAAAGAGUUGGUGAAUUUGUAAUUGUAUAUUUGUUGUUAUAAAUUUAAAAUAGCAUGGUUGAUGAAUAUCGAAAAGAAAUACUUAAAAUCUUUAGAAACUUUCAGAAAUGUCAAGUUUAUGGUUUGAGGUUGCUUUGAGAUUAAGUAUUAGUCGAGUAGUGUAUUGUUAUUCGAAUGUAUACCAGAAUGGCGGUUUUUUCUUCAAAAGUCACGUUCUGCUAAGAAUUAAACGCUUUCAACGGUUACAUCUCAUCUCGGAAACUCCAUCAAUUGUUUUCGACUAUUUAGAAAUUAAUCUUUUCGAGCUUAGAGGCAAGUGUAUCGGUCGGUAUUGGACGAGCUAGUAACGAUCGUCUAAGGUAAAUAACAUCAUAAAGAACACAAUAAAUAACGGUUAUCAUUAGUAGUACCACUAGCAUUGAAUAAAUAACGGUUAUCAUUAGUAGCUAUCAUUAGCACUAAAUAGUUAACGAGUAUCAUUAGUAGUAAUCAUUAGCAUUGAAUGAGUCAAGAUGCAGCCCAAAAGAUAUGAGAAAAAUUCCCAACGGAACAAAUGGGAAAAAAGGAGACAUUUGUAUAAAAGGGGGACAGGACAAAGGAGUAAGGUACGUUUUUAGAUCCCACUAUAAGACACCCUAGAUAGAGCACUGACUUGAGCGUUGAAGUACAAUCGCAGAUGCUCUCCCCAGUCGACCGAGUGCCAACAUUAAAGGAAGGAGACAAGAAGAUUACAUCAACCACUCAUCAACAAGCAUAAGUAUUGUCUGGGUCCCUCACAGUCCUCACAGGUAUAAUUGGCUCCCACUGUGGGGUCAAGACAGUGCAAUUUCCAGCAGCACGUCGCAAACAACAAUGGUGCCGACAAGGAACAACGUCAACCUUGACCGGAUGGCAGAAGAACAAAUGGCCCUGAUCCAUGCCCUCCAAGCACAAAUGGAGGAGUUGCGGUAGAAAAGUAUUGCUGACCAACAGAAGAACAAAGAGGAUCGACGUCGACAUGAGGAAGAUCGAUGCCGACAAGACGAAGAAAUACUCCUGCUGAAAAGGAAAAAUGAGAACUUGUUACUAUGAAUCGGAAGUCCCGAGCAGGAAGAGCAAUCCCGGACACCUCACCCUAAAACCAAUCAACCCAGAGCCAUAUCACUAGGUCUGUCAACUCACCCAAAUCCCCAGACUCACCAGAGCUCUAAAAACAAUUUUGCCCCAACCGAGGAGGAAGACCAGAGAGGACACCCAUUCACAGAUGAGAUAAUCAAUGCUCUACUCCCUCCAAUGUGGAAAGGGUUAACCAUCAAACCUUAUGAUGGUUCCACCGACCCAGAUGAGCACCUGAAUGUCUUUAAAACACAGAUGACCUUAUACACAACUGACAAAGCACUGUGAUGUAAAGUGUUCCCUACCUCUCUCCAAGAAGGACCACUCGAUUGGUUCACCAAAAUUUCUACCAAUUCCGUGGAGAAUUUCAAAGACCUGACAAUGAAAUUCAUCACACAAUAUGCCACCAACUGAUCGCAUCACACAUCGUCCUUAUCCCUCCUCAAUGUGAAGCAAGAAAAAGGUGAAUUCCUACAGACGUUUAUGAACAGAUUUAGCAAGGUAUGUAUGGGUAUCAAAAACUUGAUGCCUGAAAUAGCCAUUCAUCACCUAGUUGGGGUCAUCCGUUCGAUUUACAGAAAGCUUAUCAAGAGAUCGGCCAAAGACAUGAACGAACUAAGAACCUGAGCCACGAAGUUCAUGCAGAUUGAAGAACAUGUCCAUUACCAAAGGCACACCAAACUGAAACCACCGAUAAGGAAAGCGAGAAAGAAAAAGAUAAAGGUAAUCGACCCGGACCAAAACGAUCCGACCGAUUUAGAGAAAUUCGCAACCCCCGACUCCAUAACUAUACACCCUUCACAGUUCCUACGGGAAGAAUUUUAGACGAAGCGUUACAAGCCAAACUCAUCCUGACCUUAAAACAGUCACAAACCCUGCGAAAUGCCGAUACGUCCAAGCAUUGUUAGUACCAUCGCAACUACGGCCAUACGACGGAAGGAUGUUAAGCCUUGAAGGACAAAGUUGAAGAACACUAGGUAAACCCUAUAGCAAUAAGGAAGAAGUAAACCUCACUUAGUUCAAAUGGAGUGCUAUUUAUAGAAAAUUGUCGAGGAGAGAGGUUAUCACAUACAUCACUCGAUACCGUUAGAUUCAUCUUCAUCCAAUGGCUCAGGUCAUUCGGCCUAUGAAACGACACUUCAUCCUAACCGUUGGAUUUCUUAGAUUAAACGGUGUCCAUCAAAUAGGCAGCUUAAUUCCAAAAGGCAAACGUCAAAUCACUAAUACACAUUUAAUGCGUCCAACCAUCACAUCUGACAUCAGGAACUCCAACAGUCAUCUUCGGCUCUUCAGAAAUUAACUUCUUCAAGCCUAGGGGACAAGUGUAUUGGUUGGUACCGAACAAGUCAAUCUCGGUCUCGUUUACCGACCGUCUGAGUCAAAGAACAUAGGAAAUACCAUAAGUAGCGACAAUUACAAGUAGCGUUGAAUGAGUCAAUGUGCAUCCCGAAAUAUGCGGAAAUAACUAAAUAACUGAAAGAUACACAUUCCUGAUAUCAAGGAACCAAUGUACAUAUAAGUUAAUAAUUGAUGUUCGGUCCAUCAAGGUCAAGACCCAUAAAGUUAUGCUAUAAGUAGAGCCAUUUGUGAAUGAGUAAGGUACGUUUUUCAUAUUCUACCAGAACACACUUAAAAUAGAAUACUUACUUGAUAGUCAAAGUGCAAUUUGCAGGUAACUCCUGACCAACCGAGCAUCAACAUUGAAGGAAUGAGACUUAAAGGAAUCUGAAGAUCACUGACACGCCAGCAAUUGUACGCCUAGUCACCCCUCAACCUAUACAGGUACAAUUCUAUUUACUUAUUUUUUUAAUUUAUAAAUAUUUUUAUUAUUUAUGCUAUUUAGUUUUAUUGUAUUUAUAUACUUAUUUAUUUACAACCAUUUCUGCUGAGUCACGUUCGUGACACUAUCUUAGUUAUUUAUUUGAUACUUUUAUAAUUAUAUUUGUUUAUUAAUAUACUUAUAACUUCAUUUUAUUUAUUUAUUUAUUUGAUUAUUUUAUGAUUUUAAAAUUAUAUUUCUCAUGCGUUUCUAACCUCAUUGAAUCUUAUUUAAUGAUUAUCAUUAAUUAUGGAGUAUUUCCUAGUUAACCUUUUCUUGUUAUUUAAUAUAUAUAUAUAUAUAUGUAUUUCAUAAUGUUAAUAUUUAUUAAUUUUAUUUGAUUAUAAAUAAAUAUUUUUUCUUCUAAUUUUUUUUAAUUUUAUACAGUCAUAUAUAAAAUAAUAAUAAUAAUAAUACUAUUAAAAAAAUAAGGAUUUUUUAAAAUUAUUGUUGGAGAUUUAACCUAUUUUUUUAUUAACCAUGACUAGACUCAUUAAAGCUAUUAGUCACUAUAAAAUUAUAAUCAAAUAUUUUUAAUAUAAAAUAAAAUAUAAUAUAUUGAUAAAAUUGUAAAGAUAAUAUAUAUAUUAUUUUUAUUAAUGUUCAAUUUUUUUAUACAUGAUAAAAAUGGAAAAUAUCAAUUUAAAUAUAUAAGCACUAAAUCUUUCAAAAUAAUUUUCUGCAAUUAUCACAAAUUUUUUUUCAAAAAUGUCAAUUUUAAUUAUUUUUAAGAAGAGAUGAUUAUGAACAUUAACAUUUGUAAGAGGCAUGAGUCAUUUUGAAAGAACAAGUAAUAUUAUUUUUUACAUACAUUCCAAAUUUACACCAAUUCAAUCAAUAUUUUGUUAUAACACUACAAAAAAAAUCAUCACACAUUGCAACUAAUUUUAGAGAUCAAAAUAAUUAGUUACUAUUGAAUUAAAUUUAAGACUAUGUUAGAGAACUAAAAAAAUCAUUGGUAUCUAAAAUAGUUUUUAUUACUCAUACAACUUUAUAAGCAGUUUUUAAAUUGGUAUCUAACCAUUAACUACCAAGUUUUAUCUAUUAAUAUUUUAGUAGCUAAAACCUUAGUAACAAAUUUAGAUACCAACUUAGAAAUCAUUUUAUAAAUUUUUAUUAAUAAUAAUUAAUUAUUUUUGUCUCUAAAUUUAGUUGUUAUUUAAUAAAUUUAUUGUAGUGUAAAUUAUAUAAAUAAAGUAACAAGAUAAAGAAAAUAAAGAUUGUAAUUAAAUAAAACACAUGUUUCUUUCCAAAAUAAGAAAGAAAAAAAAUAAAAAUAAAAAUAUAUAUAUAUAUAAUUUUAUCUCAUAUCUUAAUUUUGUUAAAAUAUUGAAUAAAAUAAUUACUUUUAAGAUAUAAUUAAAUUAAUAAUCAGGAUACAAUAAGACUUUUAAUAUUUAGUUAUUUAACUUUACAUUUAUUAAUAGAUAUUUUGAUUCAAUAAUUAUAAUUUGACGAACUAUUUCAGUUAGGUGUUAUUUAAAUUUACAAGUUGUAGUUAAUUUUCGACUAUUUUAUAAUGUAAAUAAAAGAAUGUGAUAGAUAUGCACAUAAAAUAUAAAACUUCUGUACAGAACUAAAUUUGAAUAAUUUAUUAACGAUGCAUUCAACUGGAAAGAAUGUUUAAAAAAAAAGUGGAUUAACACAUGUUUGGAACUUAGAAAAGUCAUGUUAAGUGGAUAAAUUAUUAGGUGAGUCCAAUCAUCAUAUGUAUAAUCUUGAUUACUUUUUAUAACACGUAAUUAUAUUAUUAAAUACUUUUAUUUUAAAUUUAAAAUCUAAAAUGAGACUCGUAGAUUUGUAGAAACCAUUGUUUAGGACCACUUUAUAACUUUUUUUUUCAUGAAAUGAGUUUAUGAUGAAGCUAGAACUUGGAGUUUCAACUUCAACCUUGAAAAUCACAUAUAGAAUACCAUAUUAGACAUGCUAUUACUUGAUCCCAUCCUGAUCCUGCCUGUUGACCGGAACGCUGGAAACUGCCUCGUCAAAGGAUCGUCGUGCGCACCGCUUCAAACUUCCGUUCUUCUUCGAGAUCCACCUCAAGAACCUGCAAAGGAACAGAGCGGCGCCGCUGCGGCCGAUCGCACUCCAACGCCCAAGUCAGUGACCGAAUCACCAAAUACUAAGAGAACAGGAACCGUGCAAAUUCUCUCUCACAGUGUGCUCUAUAACUCGCAAGCGUAAAGAGUAUAAUCUGAACGCGCGUACCUCAGAAAGUUCGUUGAGAACUCUUAUAUACCUGGUUACUUUCUCUCUCCUGACAGUUACAGACUUGGACACGUGGCUCGCAUCCAGUCGUACACGUGCCUUCAUCUGGAGCCUCCUUGGCUUGGGCGCUGCUUCUGACUCUCUUUUUGGCUAAGUUAUUUAUGCAUGGUGCUGCCCAGUACAUAGCUAACUUGGGAGUGCGAUCUCUACUGGAAUUGGCGAGUUAGGGUGCCUUCGUACACCUUCCCUGUGGUCUCGUCGGCCGCCUUCAUAAUCUGCACCACCUUCAUCUCUGGCGAUGUGCUUGCUCUGGCGAUCUCCAAUCACUAGGUCGCCUGAGUUUACAUCUGGCGACUUCAUCUUUAACCCGGUGAUCGCCGAUUCUGGGAUGCUGGAGAUCGGAACACGCCAACUUAAUAACUGGCGACUUCACGAGCCCCCCGACUUCCUUCCCUUCUGCCAACCUGGCGCCUUGUCAACACGCCUAUACUGUAGCUGGAUGUCACGUCAUCACUUCCGACUACCAGGGCGGUACACAUCCCAACUCAAUUUUUUUUGUCAUCCAUUUAUUUCAGUAACCAAAUCACAUAAAAAGAAUUCUUGUGUUCAGAUUCUGAUUACAAUUAAAGGUUUUUUCUUCUUACAACUCCAUAACUUCUUCUCACAUUCUAUAAAUUAAAUUAAAAGAUUAUUUUAUUCUUAAAAAAAUUACAUUUUGAAUUUUACAAUUCAAUUUUUUUUUCUUCAAUUUACACCUCUCAACUUGUAGAACUCGAAAUGUAUUUCUCUGAAUUCUACAGUCUAAAAUAUAUAUUUUUUAAAAUAUUAUGAAUUAAAAAAUUUAAAAAUUAUUUUUGGAUUUAGAAAUACAUUUCAAAUUCUAUUUUCAAAUUCUAUAAUUCAUAAAUAUCCAGAUUUCAUUUCUGAAUGUAAUUUAAAAAAAAAUUAUUAUGAAUUAUAGAAUUCAAAAAAUAUUCUUAAUUUAAAAAUAUCUUUCCGAUUCUGUAAUAUAAUUUUUUUCUGAAUUACUCAUUCCAAAAUAUAAAAACAUCAAUAAAAAAAAUACUUUUGAUAUUUAAAAAAAUAUGGAAUGUCACAAGAAAUUAUGAAUGUGUAGAAGAAACCACCACAAUUAAAAUAACAAUGAAUCCGAAAGAAGUUGUUAAACCCCUAGAUCUUCAAUGGACCUUCAACGGGCCCAAGGUUAAGAACCCUUUUCAAGAUAUAUUGGAUCUUGGUGAUAAGAGAAGAAAAUAAAUAUGUUUUUUAGAAAAAGCAAUAUUUUGACACCCAUGUAUUUUAAAACAAUUACUUGACAACUGGUGAUAAGACAAUGUAAUAAUUAAAAAAAAAAUAUUUUUAAUUAUAAAAAAUAAGAGAGAAAAAGGUAAAAAAGUAGUGGAUAUAAAGUGGUAGUGUUCUUUUUUAGUAUCCAAUAAUUAUUGGAGCUGAAUAUAAGACCUUUGUGGCUUAUUAAAGUGAAGAAAAUGAGAUGUGAAAGGAUUGAAAAAAAUCCAGAAAGGUAAUUGAAUUAUUAGUUGGGAUGAUGUUUGUAGUAAUGUUUCUUAUCUAGCCAUAUGCUAAAAACAAGGAAUGAUGAAAGUUAAAGAGGCAAAAGUGAGUAGCAAUAAAUGGCCUCUUGUGUUUGAAAUCAACAACAUAACAUUCCAAUUCUGCGAAGAGUCGUUUUCCAAUGUUGUUUUUGGAGUGAGUAAAGCCACUUUUAUAUAAAGACCGUUCCUUCUCAUUCACAUGGGGAUAUCAUGAGAUGCGUGCACUUCUGCAUGCAAAAUCUUCACAAACACCCCCCCAAAAAAAGUUACACUAUAACUUUGAGAAUACCCCACUUUUUUCUUUUCUUUUGGGUCAAAAAGUUGAAUAAGAUUUUUGUAAUUUGUUUGGAUUUGAAGAGAUGGGGAAGAAAGUGAAAAAUCCGAUUAUUUGGAUCAAGAGAAAGAGAAUGGAAAGUGAAUGAAAAUGAAAGAAAAUUAGGAAUAUUUAUAAGUGAUGUGAUGAAUGUAAUUGAUAAUCGUAAAAUAUUCACAUAGAAAUAAUUGUAAAAGAUAUAAGUAAAAUUGUAAGUUUUGUAAAAAAUCAACUAAAAUUGUUAUAAAAGUUCAACGCCAUAAUGAUAUUAAAUAUAUAACCAUACAAUACAUUAUAAUGGAAACAUAGUUAAAUUAAAAUAAUUAGGUGUAAAAACAGAGUUAAAUUAAAAUAAUUAGGUGGAAAAAACAACAAUAUGAAAGUCAUCAAAUUUUUGAUCAAUUCUUUAAUAAAACAUCUCAAAACUUUUAUUAACAUUGACUUCACAAUAUUUAAUCAUUACUACAACUCCUAAAUAUCACCAUAAAUUUGUGAAACCAUUUAUAUAAACUUGACUUGAACUCAAAAUUUGUAUAAACUCCUAUGUAUUUUCAUUUUAGUACAAUGAAGUUUUAUUCAGUAUGAACAGACUUGAAUUCAAAAAAAUCUUGUGUGUAGAUUUUUUUAUGCAAUUUUCAUUCUAAUUUUGGCAAAAAUUACAAUUAAAUUCUUAAAUUUAAAGAACAUUUAUAGAUUAUUUUUUAUACUUUUAUACAAUUUUUUUGUAUGAAAAGUAUUAUUAAAUGUACUUUUUAUUUAAAAUAAAAGCAUGAAAUUUGGAGAAGUGGUAAAAGAAAGUAAGUUGAGAAAUGUUAUCAAUAAAAUAAAUAUCAUAAAGGGUAAUCAAUUAAGAGAAUAAUUAAAAAUGGAUUUUUAAAUAAUAUCAUUAAAUAUCCACACAUAUCUACCUAUAAAUGAUAAUUUUAGCAUAAGUGUUAGGUGUUGCAUUUAAUUUAUAUAUUUUAAUUUUAUUUAUUUUGGUCUACUACUACACUACAAGAAAAUCAUGAAAUAGAAACUCAUUUUUAGAUACCAAAAUAAUUAGUUGCAAUAGUAACUAAAUUAGAGACCAUUUUAGAAAUUAAAAAGAAAUUUGGUUUCUAAAUUAGUUUCUAUUAUUUUUUAUUAUUGUUAAAUAGUUUCUAAAUUGGUAUCUAAUUAGCAACCAAGGUUUUUGCUACCAAAUUUAGAAACUAAAUAAUUGGUAGUUAAAACCUUAGUUGCUAAUUAGAUACCAAUUUAGAAACUAUUUAACAAUAAUAGAAAAUAAUAUAAACUAAUUUAGAAACCAAUUUUGUUUUUAGUUUCUAAAAUGGUCUCUAUUUUAGUUUCUAUUGUAACUAAUUAUUUUGGUUUCUAAAAAUUGGUUUCUAUUCCAUGAUUUUCUUGUAGUGUUAGUUCACAAUAUUUCACACCUAAUCCGGAGCAUAACACUAGUGGAACAUCUUUCAAUAAAUGACGUUUCUAUCUCUAGCAAGUUGCAUGUAUUUUUUUAUGUCUAUCUCUCAUUAUGUUCUAUCUACACCAUACUGUUAUAAUUUGAUUAUGUGAGAUGCAUAACUGAUUAUGCUUUGAAACCAACUAUAUAAUUGAUUAUGGGUCAUAAUAAUCGAUUAUGUAAUCUAGUUAAUCGACUAUGUCUCUUUUGAUAAUAGAUUAUGCCUCUUUGAUAAUAGGUAGUGACUCUUCAUAAUUGAUUUCCUUUGCUUGGUUCACUAUUUCAACGUUUUAGUUCUUCCACGUUUAAAAUAAAUGGCAAAAUAAUAUGUUUCAUGUUUGCCUUGAUCGAAACACAUGUUAAGUGCUUGUCAUUUAUGUGUUAUUGUUUUACGCACACAUCUUGAAUACUUGAAAUACGGAGGAAUACGAGUAGCGUGAGUUUAUGUAUAUAUUUUCAUUUUUUAAGUAAAAAAAUUGUAUAUACUUUUUCUUAUUAAGUAUAAAAUUUGUGUCUUAUUCUUGUUUGUGUUGAAUAGAGGAUAUCUUACCAAUCCUAUAUUAUUCUACUUAUUAAUUAAAUAAUUAAAAAAUAAAAUUGAAAGUUAAACAUUUUCAUAGGACAAAAAUAGAUAAUAAAAAUAUUAACAAGGAGUAGAAAUGAUCAAAUAUGUUCUAGAAAAAAAUUCAAUGAAAUGAAAUGUUUUGAAACAAAUAACACUAAAUAAUCGAGGUUAUGAUGAGAUGAAAAAUACUUUAGAGAUAUAGUGAAGUUGAUGAAUAUCAAAUAGUUAAUCAUUGAGAGAGAAAAUAAAUAGAGUAAUGAUUUUUUUUUUAAAUAAGAUGAAACUAAAAGUAAAAUAAUAAUACAAAUAAGUCUUUUAGAUUAUCUAAUAAAUGAUGAUUUAGUAAUUUAAAUUAGAAUGAGUGGAACAAAUAAAUAUAUAGAUACUUAUCUUCAUUUUUAUAUCUAAUUAAAAUUUUAUUAUUUAUCAAUAUUCAUAUCUAUACUUAAUCAAAUCGGGUAUUACCUGGUCAAAGUUUAGAUGAAUUUAAACAACAAUCACGAAUGUAAAUUAUUUGUAAUCAUUAGGUGGAAGUCACUCCAUUUCUCAAACUUGCAUAUCUUAAAUUUGACCUAUUGUUAUGCUUAGUAUUUUGGUUUCAGAUGAAUUGUCAAUGAUUGGAAACUAUUAGUGUUGUGUCUCUUAUUUAAUUGGUUUCAAAUUUAAAUUUUGAUCAUUAAAUAAUCGAUACUCUAUUCCCUUUUCUCAUCUUAUUAAACAUUAAUCAAAUUAACUAUGAUAUUAUUUUCUUCAAAAUCUUAAAGUGUUUUUUUUUUCGAUAUAUUUUAAGAAUUUGGUAUAUUGAAGAAGUUACAUAUUCGAAAUUCAUCUCUUUUAGACCAAAGGUAAGUUUUUUUUCAAAAAAAAAUUAACGUAGAAGAAUUUUCUACCUUGAAUUAAGAUAUCAUCCCUUUUACUUGAGAGGAAGUGAAAACAUUCUUCAUCCCUUUUCUACCUUGAUUUUUAUUUAUAAAUUUAAUGAGAUAUUGGGUUUUUACUCUUUGUAAGUUUAAUUUUUGCAAUAGUGUGGUUGUUGAAGAGGUGCAAAAAAGUCUUGAGGAUGAACAUCUUUAAUUAAAGUGAUUUUGAUGAUUACGUUGUUACACUUUAUAUCAUAAUGAUGCUUAGAUCAUAGGGAUUAUAUGUGUGAAGUUGGAGAUGGAGGAGUGGGUGGUGGAAAUAGUAAUGGAGAGUGCAAAGAACUUACUGUGGAAACUUUUGGUUGUUGAGGGUUCAAAUUGUAACGGAACAGGAUGAGCUCACUCUACUUACUGGUGACAUUUUUGUUUUUUAAUUAAAAUAAUAAGAAAACAAACAUUGUCUAAAAAGAAUUAAUGUCACUUUUAUGACACACAGAUAUUAAUAUGAAUAAAGUAUAUAGGAUGAGAACCAACAAUUAUAUAUUUUUCUAUGGGUUAAAAUUUAUUGAAUAUUAUGAUUUUAGAAGAAAGAAUUAUUGUAAUAAAAAGCUAGUUUUAAAUUUUUAUUUUAUUUUUAAUAAAUUUCUAUUAAUGGGAGAGUAUGUACAACCAGAUGUGUUUUAAAUAUUUUUCAUUUCUAUUUAGCAUUAACCUAAUAUUUUUCCAUCGAGUUGAUAUACAAAGUAAUAUUUCUAGUUAUUUUAUGAUUAAGUUGAAAACAUUAAUUAAGAUAUCUAAACAAAAUCUUCUUUAUAGCAAUAUUUGGACACAGGGAAAGUAUUAGUAAUAACUAAAAAUCUUCUUUAACAAUAGUUUUAUAAUUGUUGUUAGUUUUAUAGUUGUUGUGUUGUUAGAAAAAUGAGAUUUUCAAUAAUAACACUACAAUAAAAUCAUUAAAUAGAGAAUAAUUUAGAGAUAAAAAAUAAUUAAUUAUUAUAUUAACUAAAUUAGAUAUUAUCUUAGAGACUAAAAAAAUUAUUGGUAUUUAAAAUAAUUUUGAUUAUUAAUAAAUAAUUUCUAAAAUUAAUAUCUAAUUAACUAUAAAAAAUUUAGCUACAAACUUUAGAAUUUAAUAAAAAUAUUUAAAAAAGAAGAAACUAUUUGAAUUAAUGAAAUUGAAGUUUGUGUUUCUUAAAUGCAAUACAUUAUUUAAAUGAAACUACACAAAUAAAAAAAUUGUGUAAACAAGAUUUUGAUAAGCGAGAAAGUACUACCAUGAAGAUUUGAGUUAAAUUUUGUGGAUAUUGAAUAAGUAGAAUAGUUGAGAGAAAAAAUGAAAAUUUGCAAAAUAAAAGAGGAAAAGAAUAUUUCUUUUUAAUAAAACAAAAUCUAAAGAUCAAAACUAAGUAAGAUAAAUCAUUUUGGUUACCUAAAAUAUAAGUGUUUUAAUAAUAUAAAACGAGAUGAACAUGAGGAUGGGAUGGAUAUGCGGAUGAGGACGAUAUGUUCAUCAUUAUACUUAUAUCCAAUUUUUAAAAAAAUAGAGUAUUAUCCAUACUCAUACCUAUACUGAAUCAUUAUGAAAAAAUUUCAUUAAAAUUGAGACAAGUUUAGAGAAUACUUAUAAGAACGAGUUUAUCUGUCACCCCUAAUUAACUUCAACUUUUUAUUUUAUUUUUAUCUUAAAUCAUUGAAGUUUAAAAUAAAAAACAUUGAUUAAUUUACUAAUAAUUGGUAAUAAUUUUUUUCUCAUUGAAAUUUAACAUGCUAUAAAAGCUAAAACACAUUUGCAAGAACCAAUUACUUUAUAUUAUGAAGUUUGUAGUUAAAACCUUAAUAAGUAAUUAGAUACCAAUUUAGAAACUAGUUUAUAAAUUUUAUUAAUAAUAAAAAGUAUUUUAGAUAAUAAUAAUUUUUUUAGUCUCUAAAAUAUUAUUUAAUUUUGUCAAUAUAGUAACUACUUAUUUUUUAUCUCUAAAAUAAAUUUUUAUUUAAUGAUUUUUUAUAGUGUGGAAAAUAAUUUAAUGAAAAUAACCUUAACCUUGAUGGAAAAAUAAUUCAAAAUUAUAUAAAUUAAAAAUAAUCCCUAUUAAUUUCGACUGGAAUUUUUUUUACUUGAUUGUUCAAUAACUAGUCUCAUUUUCAAUAAAAGAAUUAGUUAACAUCAACAGAAAGUAACACUCUCAAUAUUGGUAAAGAAAACAUUGUCUAGUAUUGACAAAAACUAAUUUUGCUUAACAAUUAUCAAGAAAUAACUAAAAACAACUCUACUUAAUGUAAUGAAAAUGAAAGAAAUUAAUGUUUGAGGUAAUUUAGAAAACACUUUUGAUAUUAAGAAAGAAAAAUCUUAUUAAUAUCAAUUGAAAAAUAACCGCUAUCAACAUCAAUAUAAAAAAAUUAUUAUCAGAAUCAAUCAAAAUAACAAUGUCAAGUUGUUAAUGUCUCGACACUGGCCAAGUCGAUGACAUUUGAGUCUCAACCUAGUGACAAUAUCUUAAUGAUGCAUACUAAGAAUAGUGUAAGACAAGAAACAACAUAGAUAAAAUAAAAUAAAAUAAAAAGAGGAAAGGUAUUAAAAAAAAAUCUGAAUUAUUAUAUUUUUAAGAUGAAAUUUAAAUAAAAACUAUUAUUUCUUUUCAAUUUACUCACCAAAUGAACCUAUUUUAUGAUCAAAUAUUUUAAGUUCUUUACGAUAUUUAAUUAUCUCCUAAAAUUCUCCAUCAAUGUACUAUUAAAAUUGGGUUUAGCCCAUUUAAACAAUCAAACCUAAUUCAACAUAGGUUGACUUUGUUAAUUUAAAAAAUAAAUAAAUAAGUAAUUAACAAGUCAAAUUAAAAGAAUUCACAAAUAGCUCACUUUAAGUAUAUAGAUUAUAAUUAAGUAAUUUCAUUUUUCAUUAUAAUUAAAGAUCACAUUUUAAUGAAAUCUUAAAUGUAUAAACCUAAAAUAUCUAGUACUAAAAAUGAAUUAGUUUAUUAUUUAAUAAGUUAUACUCGUAUAUAUUGUUGCUAUGUUUGUAUAUUAAUUUCCUUAAUAUUAUCGAGAAUGAAUAUUAACAAAUCUUGAUUUUGAUUAAGGCAUUUAUAUCUAGAGUUAAACUAGUGUUUAAUAAAUAGAGAAAUCCAAAGGAAAUAUAUAUACACCUAUUAAGUAGAAACAUCAAAAGACAAAUAGCUUAAACCUAAAAUACGACAAAAUAGUAGCCCCACCACAUCCCAUAUCACAGAACCUUUAACAGUAGCAUCUAAUCAUUGUAAUUUGCUUUUCUUAAAGUCACUAGAAACUCCAAAGUACGUUGCAACCCUUAUCUGGUAGUGCCUUUAGCUUCAUGAAAUCAUGAGUAUUCUUAGCUCUAGAGGUUGUUGCAUCCUUAAGGGACAUAUUCAUGGAGAACAACCCUAGUUCAUCAAAAAGUGAUAGAAAAUUCGUUGAGAGGGAUAGAAGAAGCCAAAUGAAGGAUCUUUUCUCCAAGCUCAACUCAGUACUGCCUCAUCAAAGCUCAAGGGUAUGACCCUCUUUUUUCUCUUCAUAAAUCUCUCCCCUUCACUGCUUAAUUACACAACCAAAUGCUCCUAUAUGCUCACAAACGUCUCAAUUUCAUUUGAAUCUUUGCAGGAGAGAAUUUCACGGCCAGAUCAGAUAGGUGAAGCCACAGACUACAUAAAGAAUUUACAGAUUAAGUUGGAGAAAAUGAAGGAGAAAAAAAGCAACCUAACAGACAUUGAAAGGUCAAGAAAUGAUAGCAUGAAUAUGGGGGUGAAAUCUUCAGAAUUUAAGAUCCAACAAAUGGGUUCAACCUUGGAGGUUGUUCUAGUAACUGGGUUGGAUUGCCAAUUCAUUUUCAAUGAGACCAUUCGUAUUCUUCAAGAAGAAGGAUCAGACAUAGUUAAUGCCAGUUAUACAGUUGUUGAAAAUGCAGUUUUCCAUACAAUACACUGUCAGGUGAGCUAUGAAUUCUCCAUAACCCCUCUGCCCUAUUCAAAAAUUGUAUUUUCUAAACAAUCAUUUAUCAUAUUCAAGAUUGAACUUACAUUUAAAUUAACUAAAGAGUUUUUUUGUAAGAAUACCAUUUAAUAAGGUGAAUUAGCUAAAUUUUACUUAUAUUUCAAUUCAUCAAAAUUAUGCUACAUUAAACAUGCAACUUGUUUGCAUUUUUCAGGUAGAUGAAUCUGCCAAUGGAGCUUUUAGGAUAUCGGAGAAACUGAAGAAUUAUGUCAAUGGACGGUAGCAUUAGUUGUUGGUGGAAAUCUAAAUUGAAUUAUUUGAAUAGGAUACCAUUGUUUUACCUAGUAAGCACAUUCACAAUCGCUGUCUUGUUUGCUUUCAAUAUUAAGAUUCAGUUUAUGCGUCUCUGUUGGGCACACAGCACGUACGCUUGUAUGUGUGUAUAUUGAUGUUGCAAAAUCUGAUGACAAAGGUUGUUUUGUUUGUUUUAUAGUUAGAAUUUUACUCGUUUUGUUUGUUUAAUGUUCGAUGUGAUUCGAAGAACACUGAGUAUGUUUGGGAAAGAGAAAAAAAAAAAGGCGAAUGACGAAGGAAUGGUCGUUCACAGUAAUGAAUCCAGAGAAGAUAUAUGUAUGCAUAUUAAUUCAUGAAUCAGUGUUUUUUAUCCAGCUAUCUUUCUGAUAUUAAACCAGUUAGAGGGUUUUUGCAUGCCAAAUUUUUCUUCUGGAAAAUGUAGCAUCUGUUAAAAAAAUCUCACUGUUUUAUCAAUUCAAGUAGAUAAAUUAUUGAUGGAAACAUUUACAAUAGGAAACAUUUACUAUAUAUGACUACAGUUUUGUUUUUUAUAGAUUUCUUACCAUUUUAGUUUAUAUAUGUGUUCAUAUUAAUUUUAAUCUGUAUAAUGUAUAAUAGGUCAACCCUAGACAUGUAUAAACAUAUAUUUUCCCUUGUGUGUUCAGUCAUAGUAAAUAUUUUUCAUUAAGGUCACAUGGUUCCUAUGUUUUACUUAUCGACAAAAUUAAAUUGGUCUCAAGAAAAUCCAACAUGAAUAAAAAUAUAGAAAUUAGCGCAAAUAAGUCUUUUAGCAUUGCGAGGAAAAAAUCAAUGCAAAUGGUCAUUUGAGCAUUGAAAAUGUGUGAACUACAAUACAAAAUAUCUGAAACAAUGACAUGAGAAUUCAUUUUUUUCUAAAAUAUUUUUAGUUUUUAAGAUUUAAUCAAGAAAAAUACACAAAUAUAGAAGUGGUUUUUUUAGUCUCACUAAUGCAGAAAAAACUUUUAAUAACGAUUAAAAUUAACAUUUUAUAUCAGCUCUUGAAUCAUCAUAGAUACAGAUAUAGAAAGUUUAGAUUUAUAAUUGUAUGAACUGUCAUAAAAACUCUAAUUUGGAUGUCAGAUUUAUAAAAAUUGUCACAGAAAAAACAUUCAUAUCUGUCAUCACGUUAUUUUCUACCCGUUAUAGAAAGUGAGACUUUAUAUAAUAGAUGAAAUUUUAGCUGUUAUAACAUAAGUUACUUAUGAUACCAAUGUUAUACUGACAUAAAGAAUAACACUUCCAAUAAUAUUUUAACCUUAACCGUCAUAAAGAAAUGUAUGUUUUUCUAAUUAUUUUGAUAUAUUUAUUUUUCCAAUUCCAUAAUAAAUUUCUUGCAUAACAAAAGCAAUUUUCACGCUUAAAUUUCUAAAUAAGAUCUUAAUGAUCUAGCACAUUAACGAUUAUUAAAUAUAUAAAUCAUCAAGAAUAACAAUACUUUGUUUAUGACACUCAUUCAACUUCUCCAAACAACAGGUUCCUAUAAAGAUUACAAACUCUGCAAUUACUAAUAUUGAAGAUAGCUUCACAAGGUAUUACAGUGAAACAAAUUUAACAAACAAAAGACAGAGACACUAUUCUAGGACUUGUAUUCAUAGACAACGUCUUUAAUAGCAGUUGCCAUAAAAACUCGACACUUGACUAUUUAUACCCUAGUUUUUUUUUCAAAUCUCAUAUCCAACAACUUCAAUAUAGUAGACAAAACGCACUGAACACUUCAAAUUCCAACUUUCUAUUUCUGGAUUUUUCCAAGGCCCUUGAACUUGUAAAGAAGAUAAAAACUACUUAAGCUUAAAUAAGAAAAUUGGUUUUAUCAUUGAGUUACAAAUUAGAAGGAAACAAAUGUUUCAGCCAACUAGAUGAAUUGUUAUUGUGAGCAUUAGUUAAUUAAAAUAUAAAAAUAAAUGUAUACAAAGUUAAAAAUUUGUUUCAAAAUCAUAAGUAUUCUUAACUUGUUUCAAAAUCACAAGUAUUAUAAAAUUUGAAGACUAAAAUUAAAACCAAAUAAAUAAAAUAAAAUCAUGGUUCUGGAAUUAGAGAGAAUUAAAACUUUAAUUUUGUCAAAAAAUAAACAAAUAAUAUAAAUAUUAUAAGAUUAAAACCAACAAUAUAAGUUAUGUAUUUUUAUAAUUCAUAAUACAUUUUUUCAUUUUUAGAUUGGUCAAUAUGAAAAUUUGUUUUUAUUUCCUGAUUUGAUGGUGCAUCUGAUGUGUUGCUCCUAUAGCAAGACAAUUCCUACACAGUGAAGUUGGAUGACAGAAAUCCGUGGGACCAAAGAUCAUAUGAUAUGUGACUCUAGAGUUGAUAAUCCACAUCUUCAUGGGAUUAAUACAUUGUCUCACAUGAUAACCAUGUACAUUGUAAUAUUUUUCAAUUUUUUUGUUACACAUAUAGGUUAUCUUAAGUUGAACAUCAUAAACUUAUGAAGUAUGAGAACCAUUAGAAUGUGUGGCAGCAAUUUCUUCUAAAAGCAUAUUUAGUUGUUGGGAAGUAAAUGCUAUUUUUCACGAUUGAAAAAUUUAUUUAGUUUGUUGAAGAUCUUACAUCAACUUAUUUGUAAAGCCUAACAAGUAAAAUAAAAAACUUAUAGUAAUAAACAAUCAUGCACAUCAUCAUCUUAACGAUCUUACAAACUAUGAUUCUCACUCAUCAUAUUCAAUUAUAAUAGAGAUAUACACUUAUCUUGAUCCAUGGAAGUCCCUAUGUGAGCAUUUUCUUUAAUCUCAUUUUCUCAAUCUAUCUCUUGCCAAUUAUGUUCUUGUCACUCCCUUUAUUGAUGACCAACAGUGAGACAACCUUUUUUGCAGAGACAAAACUCUAUUUUUAUUCUUUCUCAAUCUCCAUAGAUUAGGGUUUCAUUAGGUAAUAUAAAAAAUAUAUAUAUAACUUCUCACAUUAACCAAUGAAUCUUUUAUUUUAUUAAAUCAUAUUCAAAUCCAAAGUCCAACAUCUAUUUCAUAUGAGUCACAUUACAAAAAUAAUUUACAUAAUUUUCUAACAUAACAUUCAAGAAGAAAAAAAAAGACCUCAACUUAUAAGUCAAUUGUGUAAGGUUGAAUUAAACUUAAAUUUCACUUUUUUAUUAAAAUAUAUCCUAAUCAAGAUUGUUGGACCUCGUCUAGUGAAAGAAUAUUUUCUGUUUUAUUCAAUCUGUCUUUCAUCUAUAGCAAUGAUACAUAUAUAUAACCAUAGCAUUAGAACCGUACAGAACCGUACAGAUUCUUUUUCUAACAUAACAUAUGUAAUUAAGACUAAUUAUAGACCCAUUAAUAGUGAUUAUAUUCCUAUAAUUAAGUCUAAUUAUAUACUCAUUAAUAGUGAUUAUAUUCCUGUAAUUAAGUCUAAUUAAGUCUAAUAAUGAUUUUGUCCGGUAAUAUCCCCUCAAGUUGGAGCAUAUAAGUCUUGAAUGCCCAACUUGACCAAGAUGGCUCCAAACUUUUUAGCACCGAGAGCUUUGGUGAAAAGGUCAGCUAGUUGUGUAUGUGUGGGCACAUAGGAUGGAAGAAGGCGCUUGUGAAUGAUUUCAUCUCGAACAAGGUAGCAGUCAACUUCAAUGUGUUUGAUGCGUUCGUGGAAGACCGGGUUUUUAGCAAUGUGAAGUGCUGCUUGACUAUCACAAUAAAGACGAAUUGGGUCAGGAUGANNNNNNNNNNNNNNNNNNNNNNNNNNNNNNNNNNNNNNNNNNNNNNNNNNNNNNNNNNNNNNNNNNNNNNNNNNNNNNNNNNNNNNNNNNNNNNNNNNNNNNNNNNNNNNNNNNNNNNNNNNNNNNNNNNNNNNNNNNNNNNNNNNNNNNNNNNNNNNNNNNNNNNNNNNNNNNNNNNNNNNNNNNNNNNNNNNNNNNNNNNNNNNNNNNNNNNNNNNNNNNNNNNNNNNNNNNNNNNNNNNNNNNNNNNNNNNNNNNNNNNNNNNNNNNNNNNNNNNNNNNNNNNNNNNNNNNNNNNNNNNNNNNNNNNNNNNNNNNNNNNNNNNNNNNNNNNNNNNNNNNNNNNNNNNNNNNNNNNNNNNNNNNNNNNNNNNNNNNNNNNNNNNNNNNNNNNNNNNNNNUCUACGAUAAGUAGCCGGGUCAGAAAGAAAAGAACCAAUAGCGGAGCUCAAUUUGUGAUUUUCUUCACAUGGUGUAGUGGCGGGCUUCGCACCCAACAAUCUAACUUCAGUAAUGAUAUCUAAGGCAUAUUUUCUCUGACAAAUGAAGAUUCCGUUGGGGGAGCGAGCAACUUCAACCCCCAGGAAGUACUUGAGGCAGCCUAAAUCUUUCAUAUGAAAGCAUUGAUUUAAGUAGCCUUUAAAACAUUGGAUGGCAGUACCAUUAUUCCCUGCAAUCACAAGAUCAUCAACGUAGACUAGCACAACCAACUGUAUGUCAUUAUUAUUGAGAGUAAACAGGGAAUGAUCCUUCGGGGAUUGUUGGAAGCCGUAACGAGUGAGAGAAGAAGAUAGUUUAGCAAACCAACACCUAGGGGCCUGUCGGAGGCCAUAUAGAGACUUUUGAAGCUUGCACACUGCCCCUGGUUGAGAUUCUUGGAAGCCAGGAGGGAGUUUCAUAUAAACUUCAUCAUCACGAUCACCAUGGAGAAACGCAUUGUGAACGUCCAUCUGAUGAAGCUCCCAAUCUUUUGCGGCUGCUACUGCUAGAGUUGUGCGAAUGGUUACCGUCUUUACGACAGGCGAAAACGUCUCGUUGUAAUCCAAACCCUCCACUUGAUGAUUGCCAAGAACUACCAAUCGAGCCUUGAAUCUUUCAAUUGUUCCAUCCGAGUUGUAUUUGAUUUUAUAAAUCCAUUUACACCCAAGUGCCUUCUUUCCAGGAGGAGAGCGGUGAGUUUCUAGGUGUCAUUGAGUUCGAGAGCAUGAAUCUCCUGUGCCAUAGCAUCACGCCACCGGGGUUCUCGGACCGCUUGAGAAAAGAACAGGGGUUCCUGCUCGGUGUGUAAAGAGGCAAGAAAACUUUGAUGAUGUUUAGAAAAGAAAUCACAAUUCACAAAAUCAUGUAUAGGAUACGAAACACCUGAGGAUUCUGUUGAAGGAGGUGACGGAACAGAGGAGCUUGACGGUAUCGUGGUGGCUGCGACAAAAUCGCGUAACCGUACGGAAGGCAGCUUCGCGCGAUGCCUUCGCCCAAGGGGAACCGCGGUCGUCAGCGGUGGUGAAGAAAUCGACGGUGCCGUCUCCGUCAGACGCGGCGGUGGAUCCGCGGGUAGCGUCGAGGCUUCUAUACACGGAUCGGAGUCGUUGAUAGUGUGGUCGAAGUCAUCUGUGAGGGUAGCAUCCUCCUUGGCUGGGAUGGGAGAUGCAAUGGGUUGGUUGACGAUGCAUUCAUCUAGGUUUGAGGAGGCAACUUCAUGANNNNNNNNNNNNNNNNNNNNNNNNNNNNNNNNNNNNNNNNNNNNNNNNNNNNNNNNNNNNNNNNNNNNNNNNNNNNNNNNNNNNNNNNNNNNNNNNNNNNNNNNNNNNNNNNNNNNNNNNNNNNNNNNNNNNNNNNNNNNNNNNNUUUCCAAAUCAAAUAAUUUCCAUCCUUUUUGGCCAUAUGGAUACCCGACAAACACACAUUUUCGGCUACGACUAUCAAAUUUAUCCCGCUGUCUAUUUUGAUUAUGAGCAUAACAUAAAGAACCAAAUACUCGUAAGUGCGCGUAACUGGGUACACAUCCAUGGAUCACUUCAUAAGGGGUUUUUCCUUUUAGAAUGGAGGAUGGUGUGAGAUUGAUUAAGUAGCCUGCAGUCAAAACGCAUUCCCCCCAAAAUUUAAUGGGAAGAUUGCCUUGAAACCGUAAUGACCGAGCAACAUUCAGAAUAUGCCGAUGCUUGCGUUCGACGCGUCCAUUUUNNNNNNNNNNNNNNNNNNNNNNNNNNNNNNNNNNNNNNNNNNNNNNNNNNNNNNNNNNNNNNNNNNNNNNNNNNNNNNNNNNNNNNNNNNNNNNNNNNNNNNNNNNNNNNNNNNNNNNNNNNNNNNNNNNNNNNNNNNNNNNNNNNNNNNNNNNNNNNNNNNNNNNNNNNNNNNNNNNNNNNNNNNNNNNNNNNNNNNNNNNNNNNNNNNNNNNNNNNNNNNNNNNNNNNNNNNNNNNNNNNNNNNNNNNNNNNNNNNNNNNNNNNNNNNNNNNNNNNNNNNNNNNNNNNNNNNNNNNNNNNNNNNNNNNNNNNNNNNNNNNNNNNNNNNNNNNNNNNNNNNNNNNNNNNNNNNNNNNNNNNNNNNNNNNNNNNNNNNNNNNNNNNNNNNNNNNNNNNNNNNNNNNNNNNNNNNNNNNNNNNNNNNNNNNNNNNNNNNNNNNNNNNNNNNNNNNNNNNNNNNNNNNNNNNNNNNNNNNNNNNNNNNNNNNNNNNNNNNNNNNNNNNNNNNNNNNNNNNNNNNNNNNNNNNNNNNNNNNCCGUUCACCUGCUCCAAUCAGCGUCCUCGAAGUGCGAUCCUGUAUAAUACACAAUUUAUCAGUAAAUGUUACAACACAAUUUUCUUCAUCCGUCAAUUGAGGUACUGAAAGUAAAUUGCAUUUUAAUUUGGGAACAUAAAGGACAUUUUUCAAUUCAAGUCCUUCUUCAAGAGUCAAUGUUCCCUGUUCGCAAGCUAGAACACGUUCACCAUCGGGUAACCCUACGGGGCACCCUUGUAUAGUUUCCUUUUCACUCAAAUUUUCCAGUGACCCGGUCAUAUGGUUUGAUGCCCCACUGUCAAUAAUCCACAAAUCCCAAAUGCUCUUACCAGUCAUUUUCUCUGAUUCAUUUGAUUUUUGUUUGCUGAUCAUAUCAACCAGUACCUUCCAUUGUUCAUUGGUCAGACCUGCCAUCUCAAGUUUCUUGUCGUAUUGUUGGCUUGACUGUUGCUUCCACUAGCGUGUGCCACAUUUNNNNNNNNNNNNNNNNNNNNNNNNNNNNNNNNNNNNNNNNNNNNNNNNNNNNNNNNNNNNNNNNNNNNNNNNNNNNNNNNNNNNNNNNNNNNNNNNNNNNNNNNNNNNNNNNNNNNNNNNNNNNNNNNNNNNNNNNNNNNNNNNNNNNNNNNNNNNNNNNNNNNNNNNNNNNNNNNNNNNNNNNNNNNNNNNNNNNNNNNNNNNNNNNNNNNNNNNNNNNNNNNNNNNNNNNNNNNNNNNNNNNNNNNNNNNNNNNNNNNNNNNNNNNNNNNNNNNNNNNNNNNNNNNNNNNNNNNNNNNNNNNNNNNNNNNNNNNNNNNNNNNNNNNNNNNNNNNNNNNNNNNNNNNNNNNNNNNNNNNNNNNNNNNNNNNNNNNNNNNNNNNNNNNNNNNNNNNNNNNNNNNNNNNNNNNNNNNNNNNNNNNNNNNNNNNNNNNNNNNNNNNNNNNNNNNNNNNNNNNNNNNNNNNNNNNNNNNNNNNNNNNNNNNNNNNNNNNNNNNNNNNNNNNNNNNNNNNNNNNNNNNNNNNNNNNNNNNNNNNNNNNNNNNNNNNNNNNNNNNNNNNNNNNNNNNNNNNNNNNNNNNNNNNNNNNNNNNNNNNNNNNNNNNNNNNNNNNNNNNNNNNNNNNNNNNNNNNNNNNNNNNNNNNNNNNNNNNNNNNNNNNNNNNNNNNNNNNNNNNNNNNNNNNNGACAAUCAUGGACUGCACGGUCCACCAAUCUUCAAGGUCGGGUGCCUCAUCCUCUGGUUGGAUAUGUGUUCCAUCAAUGAAGCCUCAUUUUCUCCGGGCACGAAGCGAAAUCUUUACUGCUCUUGCCCAUUCGUCGUAAUGUUCUCCGCGCAAUUGGACUUGCGUGAUUAUGUUUCCGGGAUUGUCACUCGCGUUGAGAUCAUAUGGCGAGUAGGUCUUCUUAGCACCUCCUCCUUCGUGCUCUGCUUUGUUGGCAUUAUUCUUUUCUGGUGCAUCUGCCAUGGUUGUGCUUUGUGUUUGUCGGGUAUCAGAGUUUUGUGCUCUGAUACCAUGAAAGAAUAUUUUCUGUUUUAUUCAAUCUGUCUUUCAUCUAUAGCAAUGAUACAUAUAUAUAACCAUAGCAUUAGAACCGUACAGAUUCUUUUUCUAACAUAACAUAUGUAAUUAAGACUAAUUAUAGACCCAUUAAUAGUGAUUAUAUUCCUAUAAUUAAGUCUAAUUAUAGACUCAUUAAUAGUGAUUAUAUUCCUGUAAUUAAGUCUAAUUAAAUCUAAUAAUGAUUUUGUCCGGUAAUAUCUAGUGAGAGAUUUCUCUUUAAUCUCACAUUUGAGAUGUCUAAUCUUUAGCAUGAAAAGCAUGUUGAAGAGUUGACAUUAUCUUUAGUAGUACAAACCUCUCAACUUAUAGAGGUUGAAUUGAAUUAAGCGUAAACUUCACUUUCUUAAGAUUCACAUCAACUACUUUUUACAAUAACAUUAUUAGUUUACCAUUUAAAACAAUAUAAUAGAAUACACUCUUUAAUUACAUAUGAUCAAAAUUUUGAACAAAAAAUUGGAAAAAAAGAAAUUAUGGAUUGUGAAUAUGAAAGUCUUAUUGGAACAACGUAAUCCAAGAUAAACUUCUAGAUUACAUAAUAAUAAAUCGUUUGAGAUUGAAUAAUACAAGACAUUUCACACAAAACCAGAAAUGUGAAAACACAGAAGAGGAAGACGAAACCCAGGUGUAAUUUUGAGUUUUCCCACAUCCAUAAAAAUGCAAAAGAAAAAUGAGAUACCGGAAGCAGAAUCCUUGCGUGAGUAAUUGCAAACAAUAGGCCCAGGAAGAAUCAGCCCAUGCAAACAUUUGGGCUAGUCCAACUUUUCAAUUCUCUAGUUUACAAAUAGCUUAGGGAUCAACCUGAAUUGAUUCAAUGCAUUCCAAGUGUAAUGUGUUUACUUGAGAAGAUUAAACAAUACAUCUACAAAAAUAACAUUGAUUGCUUCACGUGAAGGUUUUAGCCUAAAAUUUUGUGUCACUGAUUUCUUUUUAUUAUGCUUCCCUUCAUUAACUUAGUCUUUGGAUAACUUUGAUUACAUUCCCACAGCAAUAUCGGAAGUCAACCUGUUCAGAUUCUGAUUAUCAAAAUUGCAACAAUCAAUUUUACCCAUUUAUGCCACUUUCAUCUCACCAGCUUAUAUAUAGGCUUCAAUAGCUUUUACAUGACUAAUUUUGGCUUAUUUUUCUAAUUUUAUUCGCGUGUAUCGAUAAAGGGCAAGCUUUCAUGCAAACCGCUUAAUUAAAGAGAAGUGUCUUAAUUGUUAUACUUAUUACUUUGCAUUGUUUUUAAUAAUUAAUAAAGUAAUAUCGAAAUUCUUUUAACAUCAUCUCUAUUGUAAAAGAUCAUAUAUUUAAUUUUAUUUUAUAAGUUUUAUUAUGAUCAUAACUUAUCAACAUUAUUCAAUGAUAAUAUUAUGUAAGAUACAAAUCUUAAACGUAUAUAUCCCUCUUAUAAAUAACUCAAGGAUCUAUGAAAUUAUUUGAGUUCACAUAAGUUUUAAACAAAGAUAAAUGUCUAAUCUUGUUAAAAUGAAUGGUUGGGUUGUUCAUGAUGGUAAAAGUUAUACUCAAAAUAUUUAGAUGAAGUAUAUAUUGUAGUUGUGCGUCGCCUUAUGUGCAAAGUAUAUACAAAACUCAACCACAAAAAUAAGUUAAGGGUAGCUAAGAUCAAUCUUUAAAUGGUGAAUUUAUCAUAACAACUUAUGAGCUACCAACACCAAUUUGAAAAGUUGACUUAUAGAUAUUAUACAAGCAUGAUGUAGGAUUGAGAGUUUUUCGAAGAAACUUUAUAAGAAUACUAUUUCCAAAGUUGGAGUUGGAAAUUGAGCAAUAUCAUACUAAAAGUUAAAAGGAAAAAUAGAAAUUAAACGUAUUGGAGUUAAUGUCUAAUGCCUUAUAUAUGAUGUUGAAAUGAAUCAAAACCACUUAAGUUUAACAUGACUAUUAAAAAAACAAGGUAUUAUUUGAUGUCAUUGACUUUCUAUGAUUUUUGUUAUUUUUUUAUUUUUUUGUGUUUUUAUCUAUUUACUUGAUUGUAGUCAUUAAUAUUAUUUUUUUGACAAUAAAAUUGUAAGGAAGAGCAAUUAAAUUGAAUCAAACUCUAUAUUCUAGUAAAUGAAGGUUUAAUGUCUAACAAAAUAAAGUAAAUAUCAACAAUACUUGUAAUGAAUCAAAUGAUUUAUAAAAAAAUUAAUGUAAAUAAAAUUUGAUAUAAAACAUUGAUCACCACCAAUUUUAAUUCUAAAAAUGUGAGAUUCAUUUUUAAAAGUACAAAAAAUAAACUAAAACCAUGAAAUUCUUUUCUAAAAGUACUAAAAAUAAAGAUGAACAAGUUUAGGGACUCAAAAAUUAAUCCGUCCUGCCUAGAUGAGGACAGACUAGUAGGUUGAUCCGCUUUGCAUCUGUAAUUUAAAUUGAUGAGUGAAAAAAUAGAAAAGGAAAAAAAAGUAUUAUUUCUUGAUAUUGAGAAAAAAUGAAAAGUAAAACCAAAGAAAGAAAAAUAUGAAUUAUUUGAUUAUAUAAUAAAUUAAAAAUAGAAAUUGAUAUAUUUAUAAAAUAACUAUUUUUAAUAUUAUUAUAAAUUAAUUUAAUUAAAUAUUAAAUUUAGUUUAUUUAAAUAAUUACUACUAGUUUAUUAAUAAUAAUAAAACCAUUAAUAUUAUAUUAUUUAUUUUAAUUAUUAUUAUUAUUAUGUUACAUAAUCGUAUCAUAAUUAAUUAUCUUUACGCUGUAUUAAGUUAUAUAACUAAACAUCAUCAACUAUGCUACAUUUUUCAGACAUUGUGCAAAAAAAUUGUUUUAGUUAUCAUUUAUCUUCUUUUCACCUCACUCACUUGGGUACAGUUAAGGACACACUCCACAUUUUUCUUUGUUAUAAAUUAAUGACAAUCAGUAAAAACAAACAUAAAUAACAUUAGCAUUUCAAUCCACUUCCGAAUUACAUUAGCGAAAAACAGACAAAACAUUUUAUUUUUUUUGUUUAAUGAUUUUUUCCUAGAAUGUGUAAAUGCAUAAUAUCAUAUAUCAAAAUUAUAUGAAAUUAUAAAAAUAAUAUUUUUAUGAUUUAUUUAUCCAUUUAGGUUUUUUUUUUAGUCCAUAUACUUUUAAAUUCUUUAUUUUACUUUCUAUGGAUACAACUGUCAUAUUUUUUUAUAUCUUUUUAAUUGUUGUUAUCUAAAGGCAAAAUACAUUAAAUGAUAUUUAUAAAGAUUAAAUGAAACUGUUUUAAAUAUAAAAAUUUAAUAUAUCCAAAAAAAUAAUUAAUUUAUAUACAGAUUUAGAUGUUUCCUAAGGCAAAACUGAAGGAAAUAAAAUAAUAAUAAUAAGAGCAAAAGACUUGUAUUUAUGUUUCGUUUCUUGUGGGGUGGACAGGAUAAUGGUUUGUAGACGUAGAAACGGCUUUAUUUUAGACCGUUUGUAGCAGAACAGUUUUUGUCCAUAUAUUAACGUCCUUUUCCAUCAAAAAUUACGGAAAAAAAGUGGUCCAGAAGAUGCAGAAAAGUAAGAAUGAUUUUAUAUAAAUUCAACUUUUAUUUUUAUUUAAGUUCUUAAAUAAUAUUUUGGUUAUACUCACUAAAUUAUAACUUAUAUAUUAUAGUCCCCGCAAAAGAAUGUAUAUUGAAAUCAAAAUAGUUUAGAGUUGAAACAAGUAACUUUUGUCUAUAAUAAAAAAUAAAAUUAUUUUUGUUACUUUAGUUUAAAGUAUAAUCAUUAAACACAAUUUGUUUCGUUCUAUAAUUUUUUAAUAUAUUUUAAUUAACACAAUAAAUAGUAGAUUUUUCUCGACGAUAAUAUACAAAUUAAUCACAAUUUGAAGUAAUUAUUGAUAAAGUUAAACGAGUCACGAGUUGACCAAGUCAGCAGAAUUAAUCCAUAAUUAAUGGUUGUUUAACACAACAUUAAACAUGAACUAAUCCAGUCCAUCAAUGAAGACCCACUAAAAUAAAGAAUUUAAAAGUAUACUCUGGAAGCUUUGAAGUAUAGUAACCGAUCGAAGGUAGAGACAAAAACAAUCGUUCUCUAAACUUCAACACCCAUUCAAGAAGACAUACCAUUUUAAUCUCACAAAUUUUAAAUUUAUUACAUUUUCUUAAAAUAUCGAACAACUAUAAUUUAUCAAUUCAAACAUUAAAUUUGUAUAAAUGUACAUGUUAAAAAGCUUAAUUAAUCAAUUAUUAUAAAUUGUACUCUUAUGUAUUCUCAUAUAUAUUUUUUCAUCUUCUUCCAUUCACAUGAGUAAAGAAAUAAGAAGAAAAUCUUUGGAUCACGUGUAUUUUAUAUUGUCACUUUUUACUUUUUUUAAACUAAGUUGAUAGUUAAGUGUGAUCCAAUGAUGGUUACAUUACGUUAUUAUGAUGGUUUGGUAUUAUUUUGAUGAUGUUUUGAAUAUAAAAUUUCAUAAAUGAUAAGUUAACAUUUGCAAAUUUAUCAAGCGAAACAAAAUAAACCAUGAAUGAAAUGAUUUCUUUUCUACAAUUACAAAUAUUAAAAUUUUAUUUGAAACAAAAAAAAAUCCAAUAGUUUUACAUAAUAUAUAUAUAUAUAUUCUGAAAUCAAUUCUUAUAAAAUACAAUAAAAUAAUAUUUUAAUUACAAACAAUUAAUAUAUAUUAAUAAAUAAAUCACAUUUUUUUUAACAUACAAAUAAAUUUAUAAACUUACUUUUUUUAUAAUUAAAAAACAAAUAAAAAUUUGAACGAUACUCGUCAUAUCACUUAUAAAUUCUUCACAAUUUUUACUCAAUUUUUAUUAAUCAAAAGAACCUUAGUCUCUUCUGAGACCAAUGCUUUGAUACUCUCUUAAAUCCACUUCCCAAUGCAAAGAAUCUUCUCUUUCAUGCUUCAAAAUUUGAACUUUUUUGGUGGGUUGGAUUUUGUUUUGGCAGAAGUAAUUUAUUUUUCAUCCCUAAUAAAUGCAUUAUGAGAAACUUGACCCACAUUGUUCGAAGUGGGUAAUAUAAAACGCAAUACUAUUACCGAAGCCUUGGAAACUUCUAUAUAGGUCUUGAAAGAAGUGCAGAAUUCCAAAUAUCUUAUAUGCAUGUGUGUAUUCAUCCUGCCAUUCCCGCAUUCUUAUAAACAAAUUGCCACUACCGCUACUGUUACACUUCGCUUUAACUUUCAAUCAAAUUUUUAACUCAUACAAGGAAAAGAUAGCUUUUAUUUUUUUACUAUGGAAUUCUUCAAUCGAUAACGUCUUUUACACUUGUAUAACACAUUAUCACAAUAUAUUUUAAAAUAAACUCAAAACAAAAAUAAGACAAAUUAAAUAUUUUUGAAAUUUUUAAUAUAAUUUUAGAUUUUAAGAAAUACAAUCACAAAUAUAUGAAUCAUCACACUUCAUCCUUUAAGAAUGCAAAACAAUCACAUGUCCACAAUUAACUCAUAUUCAAUACUAGAAAUUCAUUGAUAUAUAUACAUAAACAUCUAAAUUUACUUUCGGGAGACUUGAGUAUUGAAUUUGAAUUAAAAAUUUGCAUUUAUCAUAUUACUACUCUUGUGAUAACUCUCCACACAAUGACGUACAGACGGAUCAAGUCUCUUUAUAUGACAUGAUUAAUCCAUAUGACCUACUAAAUCAAUUAUUUUUCAAAUUGCAAACUCAAUCAUAUGAACCUCCUUCAACUCUCUUCGCCUCAUAAUCUUCAUUUAUAUGAUUUUAAUAUACUAAUAGAGUCAUGAUAUCUCCUUUUAGAUGCAUAUUUUAUUCCAUAUAGAUCCUAAACAAUAUUAACACAGUAUUUUCUUCUCUUGAAAACAUCAUGUCUCGAUCACAUGAUUCAUAGAUCAUAUCACACAUUCAUAUCCUUCAAUUACACAAAAAUUUAGAUUUUCAACACUAUACAAAAAUCUUAAAAAAAACACAAAAACAUAUAAAAUCAAUGUUUCAAAUAUAUAAUUUAAUUAAAACAAUAAACAACCAUCAAACAACUUUUAUAUUUUAAAAAAUUUAGCUUGAACAAAAAUAUUUUUGGUUGAGUGGAAGUGAUAUCGAUUAAGGAAAAUAAGGUUGAUACAAAGUUCAGUUUUAAUACUAUUUUCAGUUGAGCGAAUAUCAUUUUGCUUGAGCGAAAAUGAACCUAAGAGCAAGACAAUUUCUAUUCCAUUUUCGUUGAGCAAUGGUCAUGUUGUAUUUUCGCUGAAGCAAGAAAAAUAGAAGAAAAGUAUAUAUAUAUUUCAUUUUUCAUUUUUUCAUCCAAAAUCAUUACCUAAAUUUGUACUUUACAUAACCUAAAAGGUCAAUAGGAUACCAAUUUGCUCAAACUUUGACUUGUACAUAUAAACUCUAAAUCCUAAACAAUCAUAUACACACACUUAAGAUUUCUAAACAAGAUUCAACUCAAAUUCAAAACUCAAGCAAUCAACUUUUAUUAUUGUUUAAACUUUAAACAAUUCAAGGCGUAGCUAAACAACAUGCAAGAAGAUUUUCAACAUCAGAAACAACAUUUAAAUACCAAAUUAUCAAAAUAUACCAUCUCUAUACUUUCAAAAGAUAUAAAUUCAAACAAUUUUCAUAAGAUGACAUCCUUGCAAGAUUGGAACUUGUGACCAUAUCACUUCACAUCAAGAUCCUAUAAUCUACAGUUUUAUUGAAAGAUAAAAUUAGUUUACCUUACAUGACUAGAUGUAUGAAUACUCACAAAGAGUUUAAUCUCCCAAAAAACAGGUAUAACUUAACCUACACCACAAAGUUCUGAUGAAUAAUUUGAACACAUUAUUAGGACCUUAAACUGAUAAAGACUAAUCUUAGAGCCAUAAACACUACAUGCAAGACACGUCUAUCCAAAUAAAGAGAAAAACUCAAAAUUAACUCAAAAGAAAAAAAAAAUAACAAAAUUAAUUUUACUUUAAUAAAAAAAAUUGACUGAACAAUAUGCAUUGACAAGAAACCCAAAAUGACAUUCGAUUAUCAAUAUGAUAAAUGCUGAGACUAAAAAUAUAGAGAAAAACAAUUAUAAUAAUUAAAUAUAAAACUUAAUAACUAAUUUUUUAUUUAAAUAAAUUUUCACUUUAAUAAUAAAAUAUUUAAAUAUCAUUUUAAUUAUAUUAUCUAUAUUUUAAAACUAUUUUCUAUUUCUUUGUACUUUGGAUUUUUUAAUAAUUUUGAUUAGAAAUAUAUAUUUUUCAUAUAGCGUUACAUAAAAACAUUAAUUACUUAAAUUGCAAUGUUAAAUUUUUAAUUUAAACUACACAAAAAUUUAAAUAAAUAAUAAAAACAAUACAAUCAUUAAUUGUCUUUUUAAAACUAAAAUAAAUAACAGUAAAUAAAAAAAUAAAAUAAAAAUAAUCUGCAAUUAACAAAUAUAAAUUAUAACUUAUAAAUUAAAAACUUAAAAAUAAAGUAUUUUAAAACUCUUUUCAUAUAUUUAUUGUCUUGAUAAAUUAACUUCUGAUAUAAUAAAAUGUGGUAAAGAUACUGAUAGUCUGUAAUAAAUGAGUAACAUAUAGUGUGGUAUUGUGUGAGAAAGUCAGAGAUGAAUUAAUUUAAGCCGUACAUGAAUUUUACCUUCCUCACAUAGCGAAUUUCCUAGUUUCCCCUCUCAUCCCAACCCACAAACCUAACAAGCUAAGCUACACACCAUUCAUAAGGAAACACUCACUUUCCUAAUCUUCUUUCAUAAUUUUUGUUUACAUAUCAAUAAAAACCGCAGAGAAUCCCGGCAUCAGCCCCUAUAAAUCAACCCCUGUCACCACCCUUACAAUAUACUAACCCUUCUCUCUCUCUCUCUGCUUGGAGCAAUGGCCAAAGCCAUGGCAUUAAUGCUGCUCAUGCUCUUAGUCACUGUGUUUUCUGAAGAGCUUCACACUCUUCCAUCAGCCCCACUUCACCCCCAACUUACCCACCUGCAAACGCCCCUCACCACCCCCACCCCCACCACCACCACCACCACCCACCAGCUCCAGCCCCUGCACCUCUCCACCCUCCUUCUCCCCCUUCCCACCCCCAUUACCCUCCAGCCCCUGCUCACCCUCCAACCCAUCACCAUCACCAUCACCCUUCUGCUCCUGUUCACCCUCCUCUCAACCCUCCGCUUGUUCCAGUUCACCCCCCUCUUAAGCCUCCGGUUCCAAUUCACCCUCCUCUUAACCCUCCGGUUCCAGUUCACCCUCCUGUCAAGCCUCCUGUUCCAGUUCACCCUCCGGUCAAGCCUCCUGUUCCAGUUCACCCUCCGGUCAAGCCUCCUGUUCCAGUUCACCCUCCGGUUCCUGUCCACCCUCCUGUUCCAGUGCACCCCUUCCGUAGAAGCUUUGUUGCAGUUCAAGGAGUUGUCUACGUGAAGUCCUGCAAGUAUGCUGGCGUUGACACCCUCUUGGGGGCCACACC
rnacentral:lncRNA from 1 species